rnacentral:lncRNA from 1 species
GAAUGAGAUAGAGCAUUAUCUAUGAUGAUUACUUAAGCGUUUGGUUAGGGGAUAGGAAUAGGAAUAGGUCCUUAUCCCUCCUUUAUACCCAAACGCUAAUUUUUUAUUCGAGAAUAGUAGUUCUUGGUUAUCUCCACCAAUACCUUUAUUUUCUAUAUAAAACUACCUAAAAUUGUUUUUAUCCCUAGGAACAAUCCAAUUUUCAUCCAAACACUAUUUUUCUUAUCCCCACACUUGUACCUAUCCCUGUAAUAGCUAAUUCUUGCUUAUACCGAAACCAAACGGUACCAGGAUUCGACACAUGCACCCAAACCCCUCCAUGGACCAUGGUCCUCUAUUUUUUUUUUUUUUUGUAAGGAUAAACUUCAAAUAUCAUCCCAAUAGUUUCAUAAUUUCUCAUUUUAGUAACAUAUAGUUUAAAAUAUAUUAAUUUAGUACCUAUAGUUUAUUUUUUUCUUUUCGCCAGUCCCUUCGUUAACUUUUCGUUAAAUUAUAUACACUUCAGAUAUCCUACAUAUAGUUUAUCGAAUAUUUACUUUAGUACAUUUUAGUUUUAAUUUUGCGACUGAUUUAACGAAAAAAAUUAGUGAAAGGAAUAACAAAAAAAAAUUUAAAUCACAGGAUUCGAAAGUAAUACACUUUAAACUAUAGAAUACUAAAAUGAAAAAAAAUGAAACCACAGAGGUAGUGUUUUAAAAUUUUUAUUAUUAUUAUUUUGUUAUCUUUUAAAAUUAUUUUAGUAGUUUAGGAGCGUUACGAAAGCAACGAGGAGACUUACACGUGUUUUCCUAACCCCUCCAUUAUCUCCAUUAUUAUUUUAUUAUUUUUAUUAUUUUAUUUUAAAAAUUAAUAAAAGAAUUUGUUUAUAAAUAUUUUUUUUUUUUUCACUUUCUCCAAAAAUAUAUAUUUUAUUUUUUUACAAAUUUAAGUUGUACACUGAGCUCCCUCUGUGACAAUUACGUCAUUAUUUUGUCUAUUGAUUAUAAUUUAUACUAAAAAUAUUCUUAAAAUUGACAAUAAUAUAAUAAAAAAUUAUUUUUUUAAAUAAGUAAGAAUAAUUUGAUUAUUUAACCCUUUCCACUAAUGUUAUAAUUUUCUCAAAAUAUUUUUGACUUCCGAUGAGAUAUAAUACACAAAUUUUUGAAAGUCGAAAAAAAAAGUCAAAAAAUGAAUAUUUAAGUGACAAUUUUCUAUAUUUUAGUUUUAUUUAAAAUAUUUUAAGUUUCUAUAAUAAUUGUUCGGCUCGAUGAGCUCAAGAUCAAUCAAUUAGUUCAAUAAACGAGCCGAAUACGAGCUAAAUUUUUCAGCUCAAAAUCUUAACGAGUCGAGCAAUAACUAGGGUGAACUCGCUCUUGUUCACUUCGACAUAACUCGAAUAUAUAUUAUAAAGAAUUUUAAGCCGACUCAAAUAUUUAAAAAAAAGCUAUAUUUUCUAAAUUUUAGUUAUUAGAUUAAGAUUCUAAUUUUCUAAUUUUAUUUUAACUUUUCACCCAGCCGUAAGGCUAAUAGUCUAACUUACUGUUGGCGAGCCAGUUUAUGUUCCCCUCAUUAAUAAACGAGCUAAAUACGAGCUGAAUUUUUUCGCUCGAUAUUUUAUCUAGUCAAUUUGUGUUCGGCUUAUUAAUAAAUGAGCCGAAUAUAAAUUAAAUUUUUCAGCUCGAUAUUUUAACGAGUCAAUUCGUGUUCGGAUCGUUUAAUAAACGAACGAACACGAGCCGGCUCAAGCUCACUCAUAUCCAAUCCGUUGACAACCUAAUCGCUCUUGCCGUUCACUAGUUUAGAAAUGAAAAUGGGCCUCAUGUGGGCCUACAAAAGGAGAAAUUCAGUUAUCGGGCCGGCCCAUUUGCAUUCCUCCCCCUCCAAAUGUGUCAGCUCCAUGCAUAAUAAUACAAUUUAAUUUUUAAAAAGAAAGAGUGCAAAGAUACCAUUUAAAUGGUACAAUAUUCUAUCAUAAUAAUAUUUUAUACAAAUAGUAUAAUAUAUACACCGUUUGUACAAAUAUAUUAUAAUAUAUUAUAUUAUUUGUGUGUAAUAUACUAUAUUAUUCGCAAUUUAGUAUAAAAAUUAUGCAACAUUUAUAUAAAAUGUGCAAAUGUUGCACUAUUUGCAAAAAUAUUACACUAAUAAUUGGAAGGAAAUGUUGCACUAUUUGAAAGGAUGUUGCACUAUUUAACCGAUAUUUCAUUUUUUCUUUUUUUUUUAUUAUUUGAAUUCUUUUCUUUAUAUGUUACAUGAGAAUUCUGUUUCCAAGAAAAAGAUAGCUGUAAUAAUAACUUGUCAGUUGUAUUUUUCAAUAAAUUAAAUGCAUGUACUUUUUAUGCAUUUUGAAAGAAUGUUAGUUUGGUCUUUUUUAAAAAAAAUCGGACCAAAUCGGCAAAAUCCCAAAAGACGUUCUACUUUUGCAAAAUCUCGAAACUAGUGGAUUUUUUAUGCAAAUUGGCCCUUUUUUAUGUGAAUUUGAAGGUUUUUGUUAAUAUUCUACAUUUGCUGCAUCUAAUUGUAAUGGUUACACUAGUGAAAUACCCGCGCGAUGCUGCGGAUUUAAAAAUUUUUUUAAUAAAUUUUAGCUUUUUAUAUUUUUAAAUAAUUUUAUAAGUCUAAUUAUUAAUUAAAUAAAAAUUAUAUAAAAAUAAUUUAAUAGUUAAUUUUAUUUAAAUAAAAUUUAUUAAAACGACAACUUAUUUUAUAAAGAUUUAUGCGAAAAAUGAUUUGUGAUAAAUAUAUCAAAAUAAUUUAAAAAAAAUAAAUAGAAGGGAGAUAAAAUAAUGGAAGAAUUUGUUUAAUAAAAUUAAUUAUAUNAAUUCUAGAGAAGUACAGAAAACCUACAAAAUUUUAUGACAAUAAAUUUUUAUAAACAUUGUUCGCGAGCCGGCUCGUGUUCGGGUCGAUGAGCUCAAGAUCAAUCAAUUAGUUCAAUAAACGAGCCGAAUACGAGCUAAAUUUUUCAGCUCAAAAUCUUAACGAGUCGAGCAAUAACUAGGGUGAACUGGCUCUUGUUCACUUCGACAUAACUCGAAUAUAUAUUAUAAAGAAUUUUAAGCCGGCUCAAAUAUUAAAAAAAGGGAAAACUUCAAAACCCCCCCUGUGGUUUCAUCAUUUAUUACUUUAGUACCCUGUGGUUUAAAGUGUAUCAAGUUAGUACCCUGUGGUUUCUUACUUUAUCACUUUAGUACUCUGUGGUUUAAAAUGUAUCAAGUUAGUACCCUGUGGUUUUGCACUUUAUCACUUUAGUACCCUAUGGUUUUAAUUUUGUAUCAAGUUAGUACCCUGUGGUUUUUAAACCACAGGAUACUAAAGUGAUAAAGUGUAAAACCACAGGGUACUAACUUAGUACACUUUAAACCACAGGGUACUAAAGUGAUAAAGUGAUAAACCACGGGGUACUAAUUUGAUAUAUUUUAAACCACAGGGUACUAAAGUGAUAAAGUGAUAAACCACGGGGUACUAAUUUGAUAUAUUUUAAACCACAGGGUACUAAAGUGAAAAAAAAAUAAAAACACAAGGGGGGUUUUUGAAGUUUUCCCUUAAAAAAAACCUAUAGUUUCUAAAUUUUAGUCAUUAGAUUAAGAUUCUAAUUUUCUAAUUUUAUUUUAACUUUUCACCCAGCCGUAAGGCUAAUAGUCUAACUUACUGUUGGCAAGCCAGUUUAUGUUCCCCUCAUUAAUAAACGAGCUGAAUUUUUUCGCUCAAUAUUUUGUCGAGUCAGUUUGUGUUCGGCUUAUUAAUAAAUGAGCCGAAUAUAAACUGAAUUUUUCAGCUCGAGUCAAUUUGUGUUCGGAUCGUUUAAUAAACGAACGAACACGAGCCGGCUCAAGCUCACUCAUAUCCAAUCCGUUGACAGCCUAACCGCUCUUGCCGUUCACUAGUUUAGAAAUGAAUAUGGGUCUCAUGUGGGCCUACGAAGGGAGAAAUUCAGUUAUCGGGCCGGCCCAUUUGCAUUCCUCUCCCUCCAAAUGUGUUAGCUCGAUGUAUAAUAAUACAAUUUAGUUUUAAAAAAAAAAGAGUGCAAAGAUACCAUCUAAAUGGUACAAUAUUCUAUCAUAAUAAUAUUUUAUACAAAUAGUAUAAUAUAUACACCGUUUGUACAAAUAUAUUAUAAUAUAUUAUAUUAUUUGUGUGUAAUAUACUAUAUUAUUCGCAAUUUAGUAUAAAAAUUAUGCAACAUUUAUAUAAAAUGUGCAAAUGUUGCACUAUUUGCAAAAAUAGUACACUAAUAAUUGGAAGGAAAUGUUGCACUAUUUGAAAGGAUGUUGCACUAUUUAACCGAUAUUUCAUUUUUUCUUUUUUUUUUAUUAUUUGAAUUCUUUUCUUUAUAUGUUACAUGAGAAUUCUGUUUCCAAGAAAAAGAUAGCUGUAAUAAUAACUUGUCAGUUGUAUUUUUCAAUAAAUUUAAUGCAUGUACUUUUUAUGCAUUUUGAAAGAAUGUUAGUUUGGUCUUUUUUAAAAAAAAUCGGACCAAAUCGGCAAAAUCCCAAAAGACGUUCUACUUUUGCAAAAUCUCGAAACUAGUGGAUUUUUUAUGCAAAUUGGCCUUUUUUUUAAUGUGAAUUUGAAGGUUUUUUUUAAUAUUCUACAUUUGCUGCAUCUAAUUGUAAUGGUUACAUGUGCUUUUUAGUAUGACCAUGUUGGUUACUAACUUUCAAUGGUUUAUGGUUAUAGGGAUGCAAACGGAAUGGAUUUGUGUCCCGACUAUCAAAAUUCUACCUGAAUUCAUAACAGGUGAACAAUAAACCACCUCCCACCAGCGUCUUGAAUCCGCCCCAUCAACUAAUACUAUUUUUACAAAUUAUAAUACUUUUAACAUUUUAUAAAUAUAAAUCAUUAAAUUUUUUUAACAGUAAUAAAUAAUAUUAUCAAAUUAUAUAUAUAUAACUAAUAACAUCAUAUAUAAAAAUUAAAAAUAUCAAUCACAAUUUGCAAUAUAAUUUAAAAUUUUCAAAUAUAUGAGAAAUGAAAGCACCAACUCAUUUGUAUUUGGACCAUUUUGUGAAUAUAUUAUUUUUUAAGAGUAUUUUCUUAAAAUAUAAACAAUUUUCGGGACAAGUCAUGACUUGGCGGAUUCGGAGCGAGUUAAAAUUUUUUGGUUUCCUGCCCUGAAUCCUUCUUUGAAUUAUAAAAAUCAUCUCGUUUUAUGCCUCGAAUUCGUUUAUUUUAUUUCAUUUACUAUCCCAUUCCAGCGGAUCGGGGCGGGAGCUCCGCCAAUCCGGAUCCAUUUGCAUCCCUACCAAUUUCUUUUUAUUUUAUUUUAUUUUUUAUUUUUUUAUUUUAUUUUACUUUUUGUGGUGGGGUUGGGUUCUCACACAGUGUUCUCUUUGGCACACUGCAGGAAAUUGAAUACACAAGAAGAUGUUUGCAUCUUGUCCCUUUUGUCACACAAGUGUUCUCUCCAGUGAGUUGGAAUGGUACCAGUUACCUCUGCAUCUUGUGGAUUUGAUUAUGUUUUUACAACUGUGUAAUUGAUUCUUUUUUUUCUCUGUUUUUUUGUUGUUGUUGUUGUUGUUUUUUUUUUUUUUUUUUUUUUCCUGAAUCAUAUUUAGGCAUGCAAAUAAUCAUUUUGUGGAGGAUGAGCUUCAAAAAGACAGGGAAUUGGCUCAGCAAAUUAUGGUAGAUUUUUUUUUUCUUGUUAUGUAGAUGAUUUAUCUACAUUCUACGCAUUUAUCAUUGAUAAUUAUUACUUGUUUUUAGUAAUUUUGGCUCUUUUUUGAUCUUAGAGUCAAGGGGCUAUGACCAUGUAACUCAUAAAUUAAUCCGAGGAGUUUAGUUUUGUGAAUAUUGGGCUAUUUGGGGAUUUUUGUUUUGCGAAAUUAGGGCUAAAAUUUGCUUGCUUUUUACAAUUUAGUGUGUUCUACUUAACCAUGUUUGGAGAUUCAUGUUGUGUGUUUUCGCACUAAUUUUGAUUAUUCAAGUAUAAUGCAUUAGUUUGUAGUCCUGUGUAUUUCCUUUUAACUCAGUUUGUUUAAUCUUUUUAUCGCAUAUCACGCGACAUAAUUCGAAUUUAAUCAUAGCAGGAUGCGUCGGUAGGAUACGAGGAAUCGUUUGUUGCCGAUUUUGGAGGCUCUACUGGAACCUCUACUUCGAGCAGCAGUAACAUUUCGCCUUGUUUUUUAGAUGAACAGAUAUCGAUUUUGCUCGGAUCGCAAGUUCGAAGCUCCUUCCAUGAAGUUCCAGGUGGCCUUAUGCCGCUGUUGAGAAGCUGCUUGGAUUCUGAUGGCGAAUCCUCGAGAAGUAUAAUAUCAGGCCACGUCGAUCAUUACCAGAGCGUUGAAUCGGAGGAUUCUGGUUGGGGUUGCGGAUGGAGAAACAUACAGAUGCUGAGCUCUCAUCUGUUGAGGGAGAGACGAGACGCAAAUGCCGUUCUUUUCGGUGGUUCGGGUUUCGUUCCAGAUAUUCCCUCACUUCAGAGGUGGCUUGAGAUCGCUUGGGAAAAGGGUUUUGAUGUUGUCGGUUCGAAUUCGUUUCAAAAGAAAAUAUACGGCCACAGGAAAUGGAUUGGGACUACCGAGUGCUCUACGCUAUUCCGUUCUUUCGGGCUCCGAGCAAGGGUUGUAGAUUUUGAUAGUAUAACACCUUCAGAGAGGCAAAAUAUAGGAAAUAGUAGAGGUAAAGGGGUAGCAAAACAGCUAUUCGGGCCGAUGGAUAAGUUUGUGGUGCGUAGCAAUGAGUUUUGUGACCAUGAUUUAUCUCGUAGUGAUACUAGUGGAAUUGGUCAUCAGAUUCUUGUUGAUUGGGUCUGGAACUAUUUUAUGAGCAAGACAUCUAUCAAGGUGGGAAGUUCUCGACGUGUUAUUAUCAGCGAAAAAACGUGAGUUCACGCUGAUUUGCUCUUAUUUUUGUUUGCUGAAUGGUUAAUUAUACUUCAAUCCUUGUAAUCUGAUUGCAAUUUCAUUGUUAAUCUAUUGUCUGAAAAAGAUGCCUUUUUAGCAUAACCGUUCGAGCUCAUUGAUAUGACAUAUCUGGAAUUUCAUGUUAAGAGCAAAUUCUAACAGUAAUGGUGGAUUAACAGUAAUACUUACUAUUGCUAUGUUGAACGGACUUCGGAGAUUCAACAGUUAAAAUUAAAACUCCGAGACACAAGUAAUCAAGUCAAAUUCCGUGGGCGAAAUCUGUAGUUAAUCCUACAGAUAUGCCGAUGACAAUCUGUUCGACCUAAAACUUCAUAAGGGUUUUAAAUGUGCAGGCCUUUAUACUUCCAACAUGAUGGUCAUUCGAGAACCAUUGUAGGGAUUCAGAUGCAGAAGGGAGUUCGUGGAUCCCCAGAUCGAUACUGCCUUCUGGUUUUAGACCCUGCCCAUGUAAGUUAACUGUUUUCCCUUUCUCUUCCCUUACAUGCAUUUCUCGGUAUUUAGUUCACAUUUCUAUGCUGGACAAUUCCAUUUUUAUCUUUAUAUGAAGAUUGUAGCGGUAAUCAAGCUGCGAAUUCCAUUUUUCUUUUCUAAGAUUUCCAUUUUAAGAAGUUGUAUGAUUUGUGCGAGUCUAGUUUAUGCUAGCUACAUAUUCGAUGCAAAGAUUAAGUGAAAUGACUGUUGUGCCAAGGCACAGCACGGUGGACCAAAGGGUUCAGGAAAAAAGAAAAAGACAAAAAUUUAGGAAAAAUGAAUCAAAGGAUUGGGUUGUGAUUCAUUUUGGUUUGAUUUUUCAAUUGUCUGUUCAUUUCCAGUUUAAUGUACUACCUAUCUCUCUCUCAAAAAAAAAAAAAAAAAAAAAAAAUCAAGUGAAGAAGCAUUUGAAUUUUGUUUGGUUUCAGUUUUUCACCUGCGGCAUGAAGAACAAGAGCUCUGCAGGUAGAGCUAGAAAGUAGUAAAUGCACGAAAAUAUCUACAUAGCUAUCUCCUAUAUUGAAAAUACAAAUAGAUAAACCUCGCCACUUUGUCUUUCAUGCCAUCUUGUUUCUGUUUGGUUUUCUGAAGACCGGAUUGUGUGCUUCAGUUAAACACUCUUAGCCGAACCUUCUGGAAAUGUAUAAUGUGAAUGUAUACACAAGAAAUUUGAAACUAAAGUUACUAAACUAUAUAGUAUUCACCUUAUUCACUUUUACCUGAUUUUGUUCAUCAAAAAGAUACCACUUAAUUCCUAAUGGACUAUCGUUCAUACAUAAUAAAAUGCCUUUUAGAAAAAUGAAAAUGCAAAAGCAUUUAUCACUAUAAUAUAAUUGGAGUUGAAAGAAAAGUAUGUAAGUGCUUUCACUGAACCACUCGAUUCGCGCAGAAAACAAAAGUUUUGGAAAGGUCUCUUCAGGACAAAAAUGGGUGGCAGAAAAUGAUUAAACGAGGAGUGCACACGCUGAAAAAGCCCCAAUAUCAGGUCAAAUGCAUCUCAUAAUCUUCACUAUCAGUCACCUUUUCUUGCAGUGUAUAUGACAUACUUUAUAUGGUUGCAGUUAUGUUAUGUGGAUCCUGGGAUCGCGCAUGCAGAAGAAAUGGAGCAGCUUAAGACUAUUGACAGCAUAUUAGUGAGGUUCUAGGAAUAGCCGGAGACUUUAUGAACUCUCCAAACUUCCUUGAGGUAACACUUUCAUAAUUUAGAGUAUUAAUUAUUUAUUUCUUUAGUCAUAUGUUUUUUUGCAUUAUAUAUAGUUGCUAUGGGUGCUGGAGUAGAAGUUUUUGAUUUUAUAAGGUCACGCAGGCAAAUUUAGCUGCCGAAAUUGCGCACAGACAGAUUUUGUAGGUGAUUUUUGUAUGUUACUUUGUAUAAUGUUUAAGCUAUACUCUAAUAUGGCUACUUUGUAUAAUGUUUAAGCUAUACUCUAAUAUGGCUUGGUAUGUACAUUAUGAUCUGCAUCAUUCACGAUGCUUUGAAUAUGAAAUUCAAAGUAAUCAAGAAAUGUUUGACGUCAUUAGUCCAGAAAAGCCUUUGUCAUUGUCGUCAUCAUGGAAGCUUUUUCCCCAACAAAAUGGAGAGAGGUUGUUAGGCAAUGAUGGAAGAAGGAACCAAUGGAAUUAGUUAAUUUUUUUUUGCUAUAACCGCUUGUUAAUUGGGCACAAGCUCUUUGGAAAUUGGUGCCAAAUCUUUGAUUAGCGGGAGAUCUAUAUGAUUGAGGACUUAUGAGUGAAAACAUAAUACUAAUUGGCAGGUAGAGCAAUCUGAUACUAAAGUAACUCGAGUUUGAGAUAAACUUUCUGUUUCAUUAUGAGAAGCCUUUUAUUGAUCGCAUUAUGUAUUGACGUGUAGAUCUUAAUGAAUGGUGUGGAUGAUAAAUUCAGGUAUGAUGAUAGAGUUUUUUUUCCUAAAGCUAGCAGCUUAUUGAGAAUUAUUAAUCUAUCAGCUAUGUGUAUAAACAUUCGUAUCUUACAUUCAUAUGUUUUCUAAGAUCUUGACAAAAGAUUCCAUCAAUCAUGUUAGCUCUUUUGUCGAGGGUUUUUUUUUUUUUUUUCCUCUUCCCCUUGCAACUAUAUUUUUACAGAAGAAAAUGAAAAAACCAUUUUCAGAAAGAAAAAUUGCAGUUGAAGAAUUGUUCUCCAAAAGGACGAAAAUUUUAAGACUUCCGCUCAAUUUUCAACAAAAUAAGCUAUCAGUACGGAUUUUCCAUAUCUUCAUUAUGAUUUCAUGUUGCGUAUCAUGUAUACAAACAAGUCCUGCUGUUGCAAUGUUGCUCUUGCAACAUGUGAUAUUCAUUAUCAUCUAAAUAUUCUUCCCUACAAGCUUCUAUUCUGAAUAGAACUUGGGAAGUUAACGAAUUAAUCUCUCACCGUGCUUUGCAUAUGGAAUAAUUUAGAAUAAAGUCCACUUGCUGCGACCAAGGUCGCAUGGUUACCCAUCUCAACCACCUUCCCUUUAUCCAUCACCACGAUCAUGUCCGAAUUGAUAAUUGUGGAAAGUCUAUGGGCAACUGUUAUUUGGGUCAUUUUGCUCACUGGCGCACCUUCUCUUGUUUGUUGUUUAAAGAAGAAAGAAUUCAUGACCACUCUUUCAGAUUCUCCAUCCAAUGCACUAGUCGCUUCGUCUAGCAGCAAUAUAGAAGGCCUCUUCAAUAGCGUCCUGGCGAUGGCUAUUCUUUGCUUUUGUCCUCCAGAGAGUUGGCAUCCCUUCUCGCCCACCACUGUGUCAUAACCAUUCGGCAAACUACUUAUAAAUUCAUGAAUGUUCGCCUCUCUCGAGGCUUCGACUAUUUCUGCUUCCGAAGCAGUCUCAUUCCCGUAAAUGAUAUUGUCCCUCAUCGAGGAACUAAAAAGGAUCGGUUCUUGCUGGACGAUUCCUAUCUGCUUCCUUAACCAUCUAAGAUUGUAUUUCUUUAUGUCUUUCCUGUCAAUCAAAAUGAUUCCCUUACAAGGAUCAUAAAAUCUUAACAGAAGAGCCAGAAUGGAAGACUUCCCUGCUCCACUGGGGCCAACAAGGGCCACCUUUUUUCCUUCUUCGAUAGCUAGAGUGAAACUGUCUAGUAUAACCACUGUCGGCCUUGACGGAUAGCUGAAAGUAACCGCUUUGAAUUUGAUUUUUCCUAAAAUCUUCUCUAGGUUCACAGUUUUGGGUACAUCUGGCACGAUUUUUGUUUCCCGAUCUAGUAUUUGGAAUGCUGGGGUCAGUAUGCUGAUGGCGGAGAUUACUGUAGGAAUUAAAGUCCACAACUCUGUGAUUGAGGGGACUGUCAGUGAAAAUAUCUGAUAUGAUCGAAUUCCAUCUUCAAAGGUUGCUUGUUGUUUAUCGACCAACACUGUAGUAUACCACAAAGCUACAGCAUGUGCGAUGUUCCACAAGCAAAGUGAUAUCCCUUGAAUUAUUCCGUACUUGAUGCUCUCUAUCCUAGUAAUCCUCAUUGGUUCUUUUAAUGAGUGCUUAGCUUUCUUGAGUAUAUGAUCUUCAUGGACGAAGGAUGCGACUGUUCUGAUGUUGCUUGCAGCUUCUGAUGCGAGUGACACGAGUUCUUGGUGGGCGAUAGCAGUGUCACCUGAGAAGCCUUUGGCUGAUUUAGCUUGUAUAAGACCACCGAUGAAGUGGCACGGCAUAACUGCCCAUGCUACUAGACCCAUCCUCCAGUUAACGACCAUACUUACGACAGUUGCUAUUAGAAUAGAUGAGACGCAUUGGACGAUCACAGACAUUUUGUCGGAUAUAAUGGUCUUGAUCAUGGAUGUUUCACUGACGAUAUGUGAGGUAAGACAGCCCACACUAUUCUCGGAUUUUUCAAACCAACCCACUUCAUUUCGAAGAAUCACUGCAAUAGGUAGAGCAAACCCGGUAGCAUUUUUGCUUUUUCCAAUUGUUGUCGACAAAUGUUAUCUACAUAAAGGAAUUGGUAUUUGACUAUUUGUUAAAGGUUAGAUGUCAUACCUGAAAAGAGAGCCUCCCUUAGGUUCUUCAUGGCUUUUUCUCCAACUAGACCGUAAAGAUAGUGCUGUAUAAUGUGACUAACUAGUGUUAGAAAUCCAACUAUGAAGAAUAUUAUGGAAUACUUCUCCACUCUCUUCCUUGCGUCUUGCUUGUAAUAUGCCACUCCAAUUGUCAUGAUGUAAAACCCGAAUAAAGGCUUCGAAAUGCCAGAGAUAGCUGCUGCAAAAGAUCCAAUUAUGGUUCUUGCAAGCUCUAGCUUAUGUAACCGAAACCAGAUUCUAAAGAAAGGGACUGUUUUCCUUUUGAUCUUUCGUGCUUCUUCCGUUUGAGAGUUGCUUGUUUCCUUUUUUUUCUUUCGUUGUUCCCAGAGCUCAGAUGCUUGUCUAGGAGAACUUUGAAUGAUCCCUCUAGCUUCUUCUAUAUGAAUAUGAUCCAGAGAUCUGUUUUAACCAGGAAAAAAAUGAAAAAAAGUUCAAGAAAUCAUUUUUGUUUUGUUUUAUUAUCAUUAACCAAUGAAAAAAAAAAGAAGAAAAUGCAAGGACUUUUCUCGAGUUUAGACUCCGUAAAUUGCAGGCUUGCAGCAUUGAUUCAAAACCUUUUCAGGUUGCAGUUUGGUUCUCAAUCUUUCUAUUGUUAUACUUGUGUCUUAAGUUUAAACCAUUCAUUUUGUUGCAAUUUUGCAUUUCUUGUUAGUUCAUCACAUAUUUUGGUUCAAUUUGAUUAAGGAACUUAACAGAAAGGUUAGAAUUGAUGCAAAAGACAAAAAGUUAGGGACCUAAUUGAAAUAAUUUAAAGGUUGGUGUUUAAGGGGUGUUUUAUUUUGCUGGAAAUAUCCCAGAAAACAAAUUUCUAGCUAGAAAAGUAUUUUCCGUCCAUUUGGUUCCUAGAAAAAGUAGUUUUCCUGGGAAACUUUUUUUUCUAUAUUUCUUGGAAAAAACCAUGGUUUUCGUUUUCCAAAUUUUUUAUCUGGAAAACAAAAACUGUGGAAAAGGGUGUUUCCAAGUGAAAACUUUUUUUCCUUGAAAACAGUUUUUCAUGCUUUUCAGCCUUUUCUGAGGAACCAAACACCCCCUAAAUCACAACAACUCUAAAAGGUUGAGGACUCAUGCUCCAACUUCCCUAUCUAGAUUGUCAAGGGUGGCUUGUGCAGCUAUAGUUGCGUUGAGGAUCUCCUUUCCAUAAUGUUUUAGCAUUAAAAAGCCAUUGCAACAAUUCUAGUCGAAGUUAAUCAUUUUUUUCAUUCAUACGCCUAAAGCUUGUUAUGUUUACUGUUAUGUGCUCCUACCUUGAUGCUGUUUCUUCCACUUCCAUCUCCAGAUUCUGCAUAUUAAAUACACUGCUGUAGAAUUUGCUGUUCUCUAGCAAUUCCUUGUGGGUCCCAGUCUGCGCCACUCUCCCAUUCUCCACCACAACUAUGAUGUCUGAAUUAACCACCGUCGACAUUCUGUGGGCUAUCAAAAUGACAGUUCUGCCCUUCAUAGCUCUCUCAAGAGCUUCUUGAACUAGCUUUUCGGACUCGGAGUCCAGUGCACUCGUUGCCUCGUCGAGAAGAAGGAUCGGGGGAUCUUUUAGCAUUGCCCUUGCAAUGGCUAUUCGUUGCUUUUGCCCACCCGACAACUGUACUCCUCUCUCACCAACCUAUACCAAUUAUAUCAAGCAUCAGAUGAGUAAUAAGGUUGAAGUUUAGUAUCAAAGUUCAAACAUCAGUUUUAUUACCCACAAUUAUAGAACCGACAUGCAUUCUUACCUUCGUUGAGUAUUUAUCUGGAAGUUGCGAUAUGAAUGAAUGUGCAUUGGCUGUUGAUGCUGCCUUAACUAUCUCCUCAUCGGUUGCAUCCAUUUUUCCGAUCUUUAAGUUGUCCUCAAUUGUCCCUGAAAAUAGUGAUGGCUCCUGUGAAACCACAGCUAUGUUUCUCCGUAGGAAUUUCAGAUCCAAACCCUUGAUGUCGUGACCGUCAAUGAAUAUGUCGCCUGCGAUGAUAGGCACAUUACUGGUAAUUUAGAGUGUGUGCUUUGGAAGUGAAAAUGUAGUUUACUUUGCCAUAUUGGAUUUGUAGUCAUCUGUUAAUUUUUCAUGCGAAUUAAAUCCCUCCUAAGUUUGAUAUUAUAUUGUAUUUAGUCAUUGCUUUCUAUUAGAGCAAAAAAAUAUAUUAUAUCACCAGUUAAAAAUCAUCAUCUUUUACUUAGAUGAUGCCACAAAAUCACAAGAUUUUGUGAUGUGGAAAUUCAAAUUCUGGAUGUUAAGUCUAAUGUUUGGUCUGAAUGCUUUAGCAAUUAGCAUUUAUUUAAGCUGAUGUCAGAGGUGCAGGGAGAGAGAGAGAGAGAGAGAGAGAGAGAGAGAGAGAGAGAGAGAACCUGAGGUCGGAUCAUAGAACCUUUGAACCAAAGAAAUCACGGUGCUCUUUCCGCAUCCGCUGGUACCCACUAGAGCAACAAUUUUACCUGCUGGUAUGAGCAACGAGAAACCUUGAAGAAUAGGGUUAUCCUGGCGAGACGGAUAAGCGAAAUGCACUUCUUGUAUGUCUAUCUCUCCAUUGAUCUUUCUGAGUGUUUCCCCCUUUGCUUCGUAACUUAUACUUGGCUUCCUUCCAAUCACUUUGAAAACUUCAUUCCCUGCUGCUUUUGCCUGAUUAAAGAUCUGAAAAUCUGGCGCAGCAUAAGUGAUUGAUCUGCAAUUCAUGUAGAAAGAUUAAAUCCUUUAGUUUUCAUGAGCUAGUUGAAGUUGUAUUGCCUUCUUUAAAAACUCAAAAAAAAAUUGCUUUUUUGCAAAACUCUGAUAUUUUUCUCAUUUUGCAACUUAAGCCUACUAACUACCCCUCCAAGACGAGAUCGCUAAAUUUGAAUGAUUAAUGCACAUUUCAAAAGUACGAAACCAAACUUCGAAACUGUAUUGAUCAUUCAAAACAUGCAUUGUGGCCCUGUAAUUGAGGGGCAGUUUGGUCCUAAAAGUUUAUAAGUGGACUAUAUGUUAGAAAAAUGAAAAUAGUGUCCCAUUUUUGAAAUUUUACUUUUUUUUUAGUUGCAAAAGAGUGAUUAGAUCAAGAAUUCAAAAUUCAAGAACUUUCUUUUUUGGGACUAUUACAUUGCUCCGAAGAGGAUGCUCAUCACAGCAGCUAUUGUAUCUCCUCCACUGGCUUUUCUUGAAGUUACUGCGACCGCCCCUAUCCAAACGAUCAAUGCCCACGAACAAAAUGUUACUGCUUGAAAUGUGCCCAAACCCAGUCCUUUUAUUAGUGCCUCUUUCUUACUCAUUAUGUAUUGCUUCUCCAUGCACUGAGUGAAGGCCUUAAUAGCUGAGCUCUCUCCAACAAAGGAAAAGACUGUUGUUAUAUUGGAAAGGGUCUGCAAAUGUAGAGAGAGUAUACCUUGUUAUUAUUGUUACUUAAAGAGAAGCCAAGUUUGCUUGGUUGGUUUAGAACAAUUCCUUUUCAUUUUGUAAAUUGGAAAUUUUAUUUAACAUAUUUUUUAGCAAGGAUUUAGGUGUCGUGGAACAGGAUCGUGCCAAGAACUUGAUACGUUACAGCACGGUAUGUACCAUGCCAUGUUGAUUUGUACCGGUCACAAAUAUAUCUGUGUGCCGACACUGUGGCAUGAAAUUUUUUUUUUUUUGCACCAAUAUAUUUUAAUUGCUUAUUAUAUACAUCUUUAUUAAAUCUUUUGUACUUUAUUCAGAAAACUACUUGCUAAUUUCAAAGAAAUGAGAGUUUUGAGCCGCGCCAUAGACAUAGCAGUCGUAUCGUGAUGAUAUCUUGUCAGCACGGUAUGGCAAAUUGGGCACGGCCCGUCGUGCUAAUGGGCACUUAAAUUCUUGUUUUAUAGAUCAGGACAAAUAAAUUACAUAAUGUUUUUCUUUCUGAAAAUUUUGAGAUAUUUCUUAUAUUCAAAAUAUAGACUUUUAAUAUAUAUUUUGCACAGAUUUCUUUAAAGUGCAGUUUCGUACAAAUUGUCAUUAGCUUGAAUUAGGUACUUCUACUAAAACAAGUUUUUGGAGAGGGGCAUUGUACAGAAGAAUUCUGUUUCGGAAUGGCAUAUACAAAAUUCUGAUUUCAAGGGACGUAUUUAUGUAAAUAGAUAAUUUUGCUCUCUCUCUCUCUAAUAUAUAUAUACAUAUCUUAAUGUUUCUUCAAAAUAAGUGUCGUGCAUUUUGCGAGUUCUAUGGAUUUGAAUCAUCGAAAUUUGGUACCUGCUCCACCACAGAUGUUGCUUCAGCAGUGUACGCGGUUCUCAACAAUGAAAGUUUGUUCAUCUCCUUCGUAUACGUUGCUCCGAUUACGAGAAUCAUGGGGACGACGAUCAGCGCGAGGAGGGCCACUUCCCAGCAGCAUGCAAAGGCAAUGAUGAUGCCGACGAAGAAAGUGGCGAAGCUCGCAAUAGAAUGACCCAGCUGCAGAAGGGCUCUUUGUCAGUGAAUCUUACACUGGAUUGAUGAAAGUGAUGAUCAACUACUAAAUGCCGACGCUUCAAUUACUCAAAAUUUUCUCUAUCCAUGCAAAAAAAGAUCAUAUAGUUCUUUACUGACUGUUUUACCCUUUCAAAUUCGAAAGGAUAUAAAUUUGAAUGGGUAUAAAUAUGUUAAUGUUGCUAGCAUCAACUUUAGAGGGAUGUGUAAUAUUGAGUUUGGCAGGGACAUGUAUGUGACUGUUAAGGGAUUUAGCUUGCCCUAGUUCUGAUCAAUUCAGCUGAUUCGCACUUCCUGUAAUCUUAUGACUGUGAUGAAUGCUUGCGUAAAAGGAAUUUUGAGCUCAUACCUUCUCACCAAUCGCGUCUUGUAUGACACUCAUAUGGUUUGUCAUUCCGGUGAUGAUCUGCGCCGUCGUUAAGUCGGUGUCGAAUGCUCCGAUGUCUUGACUGAGAACUGCUUUCAGGAACGCGAUUCGCAGCCGUGCCAACUGCCUUUCGCUGGCGUACAUCCAGCAUGAGAUCUCUGCAGUUCAUUUGCAAUGAAUUUGAGCGAAGAUAACUAGGUGUAUUUCGAGAUGGGUUUUAGUGGUGGUUGUUUAGGAUCAGUUCUUAUUCAAUCAAUCUUUUGGGUGACGUGGUAUUAAAUGCAGUUUUAAGUUCACCUGAUAUCUAUUAUGCACAUGAUCGGUUGUGUUUUCUACUAAAUCGAUCUUUUCGGCAGCAGUAGUGACAAUUUAUUUGAUGUCAAUAUUGUUGGAAAUUGGAUGUUAUGGUAUUGUUUUUGUGCAAUAAUUUUCUUGUCACUGAGGAAUAAAGCAAGAUCCUAGUCCUUUGGAAAGUAGGGAGACAGAGUGAGUUGUUUGUUUCUUUUUCAUAAACCUUUGGAAAGUGGAGACACAUAAAGUGAGUUGUUUGUUUCUUUUUCACCAAGGCUCCAUAUGAUUGGAUUACUUAGUAUAUACUACAUAGAUAUCUUGAAUAGCGAUAUGACUCACUAACAAUAAUAACUUCUUGGGUUCAAACACUGGCUCAAAAUAUUUAAGUCCAGAGUCCGUGGCCUCUUAUAUUUCCGAUAAGAAUCCUUUUCCAUCUUAUAUGAAACUAUAGGAGUGUUAUAAACUUUCUUCAUUUAGAUUUCGACAUCCUCGUUGGCUCCGAGAUUCUAGAGGUGGCUUCCAAACUCGUGGUUCGGGCUCCAGUUUGUAUUCGGUUCUGAUUCUAAUUAUAACGAUCUGACCUGUUAAUAGGGUCCAAACCAUUUUAAGUCCAGUUAUUAUUACUAAAGUAUAUGACCUUUUAUAUUUCAAUUCAAAAUCUCUUCUUAAUCCGAUAUGAGACUAUUGGGAGCGUUACAUCCUUAGUUCGUAAUCUCAAUCUUAAUGAUAAAACAGAUAAUGAUAGAGAAGAACAAAAAUAGAGAGCUUAAGAUUGUAGAAAAAAAUGAAACUACUGACUAUAAAUGCUUAAAGGAUCAUUUACUUCACUCACCAAGCAUCCCAGCAGGGAGUGUGGCAAUUGCCAUGUACCACACAAAGGGCACCACCUGCAGCACCCCACCAAAAACAAGAAAAAAAACUCAUCAAUUUGGUUUCACCAACUCAAAUCUCUUCUAAGAUUGCAUGGUUUGAUCUGAUCAUCACCUUCUCGAGUGCCCUAACCAUCUCGCGCUGGUCGGAAAUGUUGUUCCCGAACGCGUCGAGAGCCUUACCGAGCAAGAGGUAACCGACGGGCUGCGCUGCCCCGUGCACCGCAGACCCGAGCAUCCCGAGCACCAUCAGAAGCCAGUCGACAGCGUCAGCGUAAGCCAGAAGCCUGGCGAAUGGAACGGGCUCACUGUUUGCCGACGCCGUCAGCGUCGGCAAUUCGCUCUUCUUCUCAUCCUCAUCAUGAACUUGGGAUGCAACAGAGGGUGGAUCAUAGUGAAUAGAAGCCAUAACAAUCACUAUGGGGUUUGAAAUAGCUCUAAUAUAAGGUGGUGCAUGGAUUUAUAUGUACAAAUAGCUACUUGAAUAAUGGUCACAACAUAUUGAGGUUGAGGAGAUUCUAUUGGCUAGUACAAGAGGCCUGCUACAUUGCAUGUGAACAACUAGGAUGUGAACAAGGAUUUUACUUAGGUUCUAUAUCAUGGAAAAUGAAAUUUUAAAGUACAAUAUUAUACAUUUUUCAUUUUAUGUUGUUAGGUAGAAUGGGACAUAAAUAUUUUCCUGAAAAUGCAAAAUCAAAUUGAUGACUCUAAAAUUGUUUUAGACAUUUAAUAAUCAUAAUGUCUAAAAAGCUGAAAUAUGCUUCUGGACAGCUAAAAGCGACACAGAUUUAAUCUAUUGCUCAAAUUCUAUCCCGCUGGAAUCGAGAUUUGAUUUUAAGUUUGUGUCCGAAGGAAAAGAUACCUAUCAACUGCCUACGCAGCGGUGAUCAGUAAUUUUUUAAAAAAAAUUUCUAUCAUAUUUAUCAAAUUUAAUGGAAGGAAUUACCAUACUAACUUUCAAAAAAGAAAUAUGAAAUAUAUAUUUGCUAAUAUAUGUAUGUUUGUUUAUUAACAAAGAUGUAAACGCCAUGCAAGUAAGUUAAAAAUUAAUAGGGUUAUGAGAACGAGGGGGACGUGAGAAUAUGUGGAGGGGAUAUGCUUCGUUGCAUGUCUCCUUGUGAUUGGGUGUGGAGUGUUUGUGUUGGAUAUAUAAAAGCGACGCCCCAAAACAAGAUCGAUGUAUAUAUAAUCAUAGUAAGAAAUUGAUUGAGUGAUGCGUAAUGAAUAUAAAAAAAGAUACGUGAAAUUAAUAGAUGAGUUUAAAAAAAAAUUAAUUUAAUCCAUUAUACGAUUGCGAAAAUUUAAACUCAAAUUAAAUGUUAAAGGUAGGAGUUCUAAGCGCCACAGGCACAGACAUGACACACGACACGGCUCGGCAUUUUCGAAAAAAAAAGAAAAUGAAUACGGAAUAUAUAGAAGUAUAUUCUUAUUGUAGAUAAAGAAUUAAGCUAAACUUUUGUUAUAUUUCUCAUAUAAAUGAAAGGUUAAUAAAAUUUUUAUUGAUAUUUUUUAAAAAAUCUCCGUCACACAUGAUUUAUUUAUAUUAUUCAAAAAAUUAUAUGCAUUCAUUAAAAAUUAAAAUAUUUAUCAUCUUAUAUUAUAUAAGCAGAAAAGAAAGUAAAAAAAAAAAAUAUUUUUUCAAUAAGGCUCGUUAUGGGCUAGUAUCAAACGUGCGUCCAUGGCGUAUCCGCGUCGAACACGGGUCCGAUACGGACACACGAAGCUUGUAGGUGUCCGUGAUACAUAAUAGGAAUUAAUUGAACCCACGAUUUCAGAAGGAGUUUAGAAUUAGCUCUGAUGCCACAUUACCUUUCAAAACAAUAUUUUGUUGAUCUGGGCGGUUGUUUAGUUCGACGUAAUUGUAAAUGCAAUGUAGUUACUUAGAAAUAUAGUAAUUAUAAUUACAUAUAUAUUUUAUUUGAUUGAAUGCAGUAAAAAAUGCUACAGUUAUAAAUACUUUAUUUGAUUGUAUGCAGUUAAGAAGUAUCAUUAUGAAUUUUUUUUAUUUUAUAUAUGAGGUGGUGAGAAUAAAGAUUAUUAAGGAGUUAAGUGUACCUUUGUCUAAAAUUACUCUCUCAAAGUACUUCAGGUAGAAUUGCGACUAAUUUGGGCACAGUCCCAACUGUUACAAUUGAGCCUCUUCGCGCAGUUGCAACAGCAACAGCUGAAUUCAAAUGCAUCAAAAUAAAUGCUGAAUUUGGAGCUCCAUACAAUUACAAUUACAGUGUAGUUAUAACUACAUGAAAACAAACAUUUCCUAAAAGACCGUUUGGUUGUACGUAGUUGUAAUUAUACUGUAAUUUAAAAUUGUUUUAUUACAUACAAAUUGAAAAAUAAUAUUUGGUUUGGUGCAGUUGAAUCCAACUAUUGCAGUUUGAAGUGGAUAAGGAGGGUCAGCUGCAAAAUAUGACCGUAUUUUUUUCUCCUGUAAGUAGGAAGGUGGUUCAUUGGAACAAGUUCUGUCCGCUGGUUCAACCGUUAAUCUGCUAGUUUGGUGCAUUUGAAUCAAGCUGCUGCAGUUGAAAGUGUACGAGAAAGCUCGACAAUCACGACUGAUUUGGUGCACUUAAAUUUUUUAAGACAUUUUUGAAUGGGUUUUUAGUUUUUUUUUUUUUUUAAAAAAAAUUUGAUUUAUCAAGUUCACUUCUUGGAAUUUACUUGGAAUAUUAAGUGAUAUCAUUGUAUUAAAUUUUAUUGUAUAUUUAUAAAUAACUAUAUAUAUAUAUAUAUAUAUAUAUAUAUAUAUAUAUAUAUAUAUAUAUAUAUAUAUAUAUAUAUAUAUAUAUAUAUAGGGCCGGCAGCUAUACUAUUAUGGUUACGAUCGCCCUCGUACUCAUAAGUUGUUUUGAGGCUUUGCGCGUAUCAGAUGGCCUGUUCGAUUUUGACCAUCUCAUUUUGUUGCCCAGCUUGAUUGGACCUUUAUUAUGAUUUCGAAAUUACGAAAUUUAUUUUCUAGAAGUUUUCAAUACUCUAAGAUCAUAUUUAACGGAGUGGAUCGUCGAUUCGGAAGCUCUAUCAUUGAAAAAACAUUAUGAGUACGAGGCUCCAAUACUCAUAAUAGUAUAAUAAGUCAUGGCCUAUAUAUAUAUUAUAUAUAUAUAUAUAAUAUAUAUAUAUAUAUAUAUAUUAUAAUAUAUAUAUAUAUUGAUAUCAAAUUUAAAAUUUUGAUACUUUCAAAUUUAAAUUUUAAAUUUAAAUUUAAUUAUAAUAUUUAUUUUCAAAAUUUUAACUUAAAAUUUAAAAUUUUAAAUCUCUAAACUCUAUGAAAUUAAUUAAUUAAUUAAUUUUAUUAAUAAAUUCAUUGUAUAUAAUAUAAUUAAUUAUAUAUUAUUAAUAAUACACCUAAUAAAAUCGCAUAAUAAAAUCUAAUUUGAUCGAUGUAUAAAAAAAUACAUAUUUAAAUUGAGUAAGAUUUUAGAAAAAUAUAGGUGCGUGUGUGUAUAAUAUAAAAUUAAUUUUAUUAAACAAAUUCUUCCAUUAUUUUAUUUCCCUUCUAUUUAUUUUUUAAAAUUAUUUUGAUAUAUUGUCACAAAUCUUUUUUCGCAUAAAUCUUUAUAAAAUAAGUUGUCGUUUUAAUAAAUUUUAUUUAAAUAAAAUUAACUAUUAAAUUAUUUUUAUAUAACUUUUAUUUAAUUAAUAAUUAGACUUAUAAAAUUAUUUAAAAAUAUAAAAACUAAAAUUUAUUAAAAAAAAUUUAAAUCCACAGCAUCACGCGGUAUUUCACUAGUAUAAAUAUAAUAUAUAUAUAUUAAUAAUAUAAUAAUAAUAAUAAUAAUACAUUAAAGGAGGGUUUGGGGGGACCUUAGAGUGACACGUGUCCCCCAACCUCUCUUCUCUCUCCUUCUAACACACAACACACACACAUACACAUAUAUAUAUAAUACAAAAUUUAAAAUUUUGAUAUUUUUAAAUUUUAAAGUUUUAAAUUUAAAAUUUAAUAUUUUAUAUUUUAAAUUAUAAUAUUUAUUUCCAAAUUUAACUUUUCAAAAUUUAAAGUUUUAAAUCUCUAAAUUCUAAUAAUACGCGUAAUAAAUCGCGUAAAUAAAAUCUAACUAAUAAAUGCAAUUUAAAUUACAUAAAAUAUCGCUGUAUAAAAAAUAUAGAAUUUAAAUUUCAGGACUAAAAUUUUAGAAAUAGUGCAUAUGUGAUAUAUAUAUAAUUAAUUUUAUUAAAUAAUUUUUUUAACAUUUUUUUUUAUUUAUUGGUUUUCUUAAAUUAUUUUGAUAGAUUUAUCUCAAAUUCUUUUCAUAUAAAUUUUAUAAAAUAAAUUAUUGUAUAAAUUUACUUUGCGCAUAAUUAUUUUUAUAUAAUUUUUUAUUUAAUUAAUAAUUAGACUUAUAAAACUAUAUAAAAAUAUUAAAAAAUAUAUAAUUUAUUAUAAAAAUAAUUUUAUAUCCGCAGCAUCGCGCGGGUAAUUCACUAGUAUUCAUAUAAAAAUUAGAAUGUACAUUUCGAUCUUUUUAAAUUAAAAAUUUUUGAUUUGAAAAUUUUAAAUUUAAAUUAAAUUGUUUGGGCCGAAGCCCAAAAUGGUUAACUUCGUAGUUUGAUUUAGGUUUGGUUUGACUUCGUGGUUUUUGGGUCGGGUCGGGUUCGGGAAUUUGCGAUCCAACACCCAAAGCCCAAAAGGUUUUCCUUCUGUAAGGGAAAAAUGUACAGAGACCCCCUGUACUUCGGCUAUUUUAUUAAAAAGGCCUAAAUUUUUAAUAUUUGUAAUUAGAUCCUCUAAAUGUUAUGAAAUAGUUUAAUAGUCCUCUCUCUUUAAUUGAAGUAACCAAAUAUAGUCCUUUUAGUUGUAUGUCUUGCAUAUAAUUUUAUAAAAUUUUAAAAUAAAAAAGUAAUUAUCUAUUAUAAUAUAAUAUAAAAAAAGCAAUAAAAAUCCUCAUAAUUAAUUAAUGGAGAAAAAUAAUUUUGUUAUAUUUUAGAGUCUUACAAAAUUAUGUGCAUAGUAUCAAAACGGAUGAAAAAAAAUGAAAAAAACGAUGAGUUGAAUAAUUUGAUAAAUUUUAGAAGAUCUAAUUAGCAAAAUAAAAAGUUUAUGCAUUUAUUUGUAAGUACAUAAAGGUUAAGGGGCUUUGUACAUUUUUUUUCUUUCUUAUUAGUUUUUUUUUUUGCAUUAAAAUUUUAUUGCAUAAUUUACUUUAUAAAAUUUUUAAAUAUAAAAAUAAUCUUAUGUUAUCCACAUGAUGCCCCGUGCUGGAUAGUAUAGGAAUAACUAAACAUUUUACAUAAAUACAGUAAAUAAUUUAUCGUGUUCACUUUAUAGUAUUAAAAUAAUAAAAUUAUUUACUGUAUGUACUUAAUACUAUUUGAAUAUUGUAAACUAAUUAUCGUAUUAACUAACGUGUUUAACAAUCCAACUAUCCAAUGUGGUGUUCAUGUGUAGUGUGUAGGAUCAUUUUUGUAAGGGUUUAUUUUUGCAUUUAGCUCUCUUAAAUUUUUUUUUUAUAAAUAACUCUACAAAAUUUAUAUUUGUAAGAUUGGUACUAUUCCAGCUAUGCAAGCGCCACGCGAGCGCCGCAUGGGCGUGGUAGUCUAGGUUAAGUUGAAUAUGAUAAAUCAUUUAUCGUAUUUGGAUACGAUGAAUGGUUCACCGAAUCCUUCAUAAAUUUUAAACCCUAAAUAUUACUUAAUGCUGUGGUAGAAAAAUAAAAAAAAUAUGACGAAUCAUUCACCGUAUUCAACUUAACGAAUACCGACCAUCCAUGUUUACGUGGCGUUAGCGUGGCAGGGAUAGGACCAAUUUUACAAAUAUAAAUUUUGUGGGGCUAUUUGUGUUUUUUUCUGGAGAGCCUAAAUGCAAGAAAAGGCCUUUUUUGUAAUUCAAAUUAUUUGGGAUCAAGUUAUGAAAUAAAAUAUGUAAAGGGGGUAAAUGCAAAAAAUCCCGCUACUUAAAUUCAUCGCCACCACUGUCAUCGUCUCCGCUCCUCGACAAUGGCGUCGUCCUCGCCCGGCGCCCGGUCAUGGCGCACGGCGUUCCUCACUCUCAGAGACGAAACCCUAGCUCCACCUCCUCCCCACGCCCUCCUCUCCCUCCUCCGCGACCUCGUCCUCUCCCACCCCUCCGGCGCCCUCGCAGCCGCCGCCGCCGCCGCCGCCGAUCUCCCCCCUCACGAGGUGCAGUAACCCUAACCCUAACCCUAACCCUAAUAUCUUCUCCCACCUCCUAUCUCCCACACUUCGUGUUUGAUUCGUUGUUUCUGAGAGGGGAAGCGUUGGUUUGGGUGGGGUUCAGGUUACUUCCGAUGUGAUGCUUCUUGCGGAGUUGGCGUUGGCGGUGUCCAAGUGCCCGGAUGCGGAUGGCGCCUUGAUUAGCAUCUUGCAUUUGGUAAAUCUUCCCUCUCUAUUUCUCAGUGGAUGUGUGUGACUUGGAUUCGUGUUGUAGUUAUUACGGAUUAGUUGAUUGUGAUGUUGUAAGCAUUGGACCGCAGAGAGUUAGCGAUCUUUGAUGUUUAAUGGAACUGGUUUCUUUGUUUAUGUUGUUAUACUCUUGAGUGUAUAAGGUAAUGAUGAAUGGGAGAAGAUGGAGGAAUUUAAGUGAAAAAGGUAAAAUUGGAACACAAACACAAAUGUUAGAGAUCCACUUUAACAAUUGAAAGGUUCGUGACCGAAUUAAAACUAUGCUAAAAGGUCGAGAACCCGUGGUGCAGUUUACUCCUAGGUUAAAAGAAGUUUCGAAUUUAAGAGUUUCAGUCCUAAGGACAACUAACUAGAUUACCACUGAAGUACAUAUAAUGAACUUGGCCUUUGUCACCAUUGUUUUACUUACAUCUAUUUAGAUGCAUCCUAAAUAAAGUAUAUAAGUGAUUUCUCAAACUUGAUUUUGCAAAUUAAUUGCCCUUCCUGUACUGAUGCUGAAAUCUUUUUAUCUUGGAACUAGCGAGGCCAAUUCACUAGCCAGUUCAGAUAGGUUGAUCAGUUCAAUAUUCGGUAGAACAUGAAAGUUCAACUAUUCGUCUUUUACGCGUAAUUGCCUAACAAGUGUGCUCAAGAUACUAGCUGUGAUUCCUUGUUUCUGGUCCACACUGUCUAAUUACUUCCAGUAUAUGAUGCUUGUCCUUGAGCUGCAAAAACUUAUGUCUCUUUUAUAUGAUGUGUGAAUGGCUUGUAAUGCAAGUGAGCAUUAUCUUAUCAGUCUUAAGAACAAGACUUCUAAGUUGCAACUAUUUUAUUGGAGUUCUUUGUCUUCACAUUUCUCAUGCACUAACUAAAACGUUUAGGGUGUGGGUGAGGUUCAUCUUGCUGAGUGCAAUACUUAAAGUAAAAAAUGAUAUUAGUGAUAAGUCUAAAACACAAUAAACCCCCCUGGUUUUAUUGCGAGUUGCAGAACACUAUCCUCGAUAAUGGCUUGGGAAGUGUCCUAGCUGGUAUCACGGUAUCAGUGUUAUAGAGAAGCAAUUAUCCUUAAUUGCUUAGCACCAAUAUUUUUCCCCAGUAUUUUUUUUCCUUUUUUUUUUGCCUUAUGUGCUUAUUUUCUGCUUGAACUGUUGCUAUACUGUGGUACAGAUUCAUGAUAUUAGCUGCAGGGUACACCUAGAGGUUAACUCUUCAUGGAUCAUGUUACUGAACUUUCUUGAAGAGGUUCUGGACUGUGUACAUGGAAGUGCUUAUAGGAAGAGCUUCUCUUCUAGAACUGCUUCAGUGAAUGCCCUUACCGAAUGCUUGGCGAUUCUCAGGUUAACUGUUGUAUUUAUUACAUUUUCAUUCUUCUUUCUUAUGCUGCUACUGUAUACCCUAGGUUGAAUUUUCAUUGUUCUUUUGGCAUAUGGAUAGCAUUUCUUAGCAAAAUAUACCUGUUUUCACCCCAUGAGGCAAAGUAUCAGACUUAAAAAGCCUUGUGAUGUUAUACAUCUAUUUUGUUACUGUGUUUUUGACCUAUUCUAUCUCUUGAAUAGAAAUUUGUCAUAACCUGAGUUCUCUCUUUGAAUUAAGAAGCUGAUUAUGGAGAUGCUUCACCUAGUGCUGUGUCUCAUUUAGCAUGUAUUAUCAUCACUGAAAUUUUUAAUUCUUAUUGUUAAUUCUUUUCAGACUUAUAGUCAAGGCUUAUGGAAGAACGAAUUUAUCAAUAGAGUCUUCUCAAUUAGUUAGAAUCCUCAUCUCUAUCAUUUCAUGCCUGCACGGCGAGCUACUUAACUCCUACCAGUCAAAUGGGGCUGAUAUUUCUCCUCGGGAUACUGGAACUAGAAGUAUGAGAUAUAACAGCUUAUGGGAAAUGCAGACCCUUGCACUUUCAAUGGUAGGAGAUAUAUUAUCUUGGACUGAUUCUUCUCUCUCUGCAAAUCUAUGGCAAUCUAUAGUUGAGGUGAGUACACUUUUUCCCCCUCUUUAUUGGAGUUGUGAUUUCUACAAAUAAUAUCUAUAAAUCUCUGUCCUCUUUUAGGUUUUGAGGAAAGUUAUGGACUUUUUGGCAUCAAAGAACCUUUUCAUAGAGAACAAUGACAUGUCAAGGUACUUGUAUAAUUGAAUGUCCUGUAGAAGAGAAUUUUUCUGUGUACCACCUAUACCAUGUUGAAUAGGUAACAUGCCAGUCGUACAAGCCAUGGCAGAUUUGCUAGGUAAGAUUGUUCAGUAAUUUCAAGCAGUAAGAGGUCAAAAUAAAAGUUGUCCUUAUUAGGUGCCACUUGGUGAAAUUGGAUUGGCUUUUUACCUAUCCUUCAUACUGUGGGGUUGCACAGAAGACUUCUGUUCCCUGUAUAAUGCCUGUAAAAACUAGUAGCUAGAACUCUAAAAUUUUAUCUCUUUUGCAGAUUUUAUGCCACCCUUCUUCAUUGUCUCCAUUUGGUUCUUUCAGAACCUAAAGGUUCUCUUUCUGGGCAUGUAGGUAUACAAUCUUCUAGGUCACAUUAAUUGUUAAGCAAUAUGAUAUUUUCCCAUAGUGUUUACAUCACCUAUAAAAAUGGAAGGUGGCAGGUUUUGUGGCAACUUUGCAAAUGUUUUUCAUGUAUGGGCUCCCCAGUAGGUCAUCCAUACCGCCUGCAGCCACUGACUUGAAGGAAAAAGUAGGUGGCUCUCAAGAUUUGAGAUCUGGACCGUCUAGAAGGAAUGAUCAUGGCACUUAUAGACCACCUCACCUGCGUAAACGAGAAGAAACACGGACUAAUUCGAUGGAUCUUCAGAGUUCUUCAGAUUGUGAGUCUUCAAGAUAUGAUUUUACAUCAUCUGACUCAGAUCAUAGUGAUAGUGAUGGAUAUGCUAAAAUUGGAGACCGUUUCCGAAGCUCAAAGGCUAGAUUAGCAGCAAUUUCUUGCAUUCAGGUAUAUAUGACUUCAUCCAUUGGCUACCCUACAGUUUUCUUAGUUUUUCGGAGACUGUUAUAGCUGUAUUCAGUUGUUUCUUUUUACAUAUAUUUGCCGAAUUUGUUUUCCUUUGGGCAUGCAUUUUGUUUACUUGCCUGAUUUAAUUAAUGUCUAUUUGUUUCCAUAUAUCUGCCCGAAGAUUAAUAUGACAACCUGUAAUUAUUUUAAUUUUCUAUAGACUAAUGAUGUUUCAUAAUCCUUUGAACAUAGGAUCCUCAAAUAAUCCUUUGACUAACCUGAUUUAAUUAAUGUCUAUUUGUUUUUGUUCUGUAUACAUAGGAUCUUUGUCAUGCUGAUCCAAAGUUACUCACUUCGCUUUGGUCACUACUAUUGCCUGAGAAAGAUGUACUUGAACCAAGGUAGAAUUCGUAGUGCAUCUUUCCUCGGUACAUUAUUUUCUGCAUUUUACUUCCAAUUCUAAUGGUGCUUGUUUCCCCAGGAAGUAUCAGGCGACUCUUAUGACAUCUCUUAUUUUUGAUCCUGUGAUGAAGGUACAGUUGUUGGAUGAUGCUGAUAUACCUUUGUUUUGAUCUUCAAUAACUUUUAUGUAUUUUCUUUUUCUAUUAAAAGUUUUUUUUGUUUUGACCUCAAGUUUUCAUAUUUGAUUGUCAUUCCUUCCAUCAUCCAUAGAUACGAAUUGAAGCUGCUUCAACUAUUGCUGCCAUGGUAGAGGGGCAUGCUGUUGUUUUAUCGCAAGUAGCAGAAUACAAAGAAACUUCUAAAUGUGGAUCUUUUACUACACUAUCUAGCUCCCUCGGGCAAAUACUUAUGCAAUUGCACACAGGUACUGCAAUUAACAUUGGUCCAGCCAUGUCUAAAUAUGUCUUUUCUGGAUCACAACAUAAUUGUAAUUACCUUGCGAACUUUUACAUCAUCUUUUUUGUAUAUACUGGUAUUACUUUAUCACCUUUUGUUAUAAUCCAAGGUUUUGUUGCUUUAGUUCCUAAUCAGAUAAAUAAUUACUGAGGAAUCAUACUGUUUCAUGUGAUUUUACGAAGUUUAUGGUGACUCCGCUGGCUGCCUAAUAUUUCCGCUAUUUUCAAAAUUAUCUCUGUUUGGUAGAUUUUACACCGACCUAGUUAUUCCCUAGUUUCUCCCUCUUUCGCUGACAAUCUGCUGUGCAUCCCUCAAGAUAUGAAAUAUUUUAGUCGUCUCGUUUCAACAAUUUCUGUGCUUUUGCUUUUCAUCUCUCAUUCUAGUUAAUCUAUUUCUGUUUUUCAGUUCUUGUCUCGUAGUUUAAAAAUCUCCCAUUUCAUAGAUCAUUCUUGCCCUUAGUUUGAUCCUUUUACAUUUGCAUUAAUUUGUAUCUUUACUUUUAUUCCUGUUUGAUAUUUCGUUGCAUUAAUCUUGCAGGCAUAUUAUACUUAAUAAGACAUGAAACUCACAGCGGGUUGCUAGCAGGAUUAUUUAAAAUGCUCAUUCUUGUGAUAUCGGCUACACCGUAUGAUCUAAUAUUCACAGACUAAUUUCCCUUCUACUGAAACGGCUAUUGCCUAAUGCUUGUGGCUUGUAAACAGAUAUGCUCGAAUGCCUAGAGAGUUGCUGCCAACUGUUCUUCAAUCUCUGUGUACUCGGAUAUUUGAGGACCAUGCAGUGAAAAAGGAGCAAUACACGCUCUUGGUUAGUUUUGUAAAUUUCAUUGAAAAGACUUCUGUAUUUUCUUUAUUUGAUUUCGUAUGCACAUACAACAGGUUAAUGUGCUUAGUUGCUUGGGGACAGCGUUUUCUAAAACACCUCCUUUGUUUGAUGUCUUAAAAUUGCUUGAAGAAGAUACUUCACAAGGUCAGUUUGUUUUAGUUUUACUUUAAUUUUUUUUAAAAAACUUGAGGCUAAUUAAUGUUAGUAUUGUGGAACAUGGUACAUGGAAGAAUUGAAACAAAACAAAAUGCUGAUGAGACAUUUGGCAUGCAAGUUACCUUAUAAUUGAAGCAUGUCAUGCAUGAUUAUAAACAAAAGAUAUCUUCUUAUUGGUACUUCAUUUAUAAUACAAUGAAAACAAUUAAUUAAGUGGAUGCACAUGUGACAGAUGAUUAAGAAAGUUUAACAUGGCUCAUAUCUUUACCUAUGUGCCACAAUCGUAACAACAAAUGGGAGGAACAUGUGAAUUAAAACAGUAGUUAUGACUCGGUGAAUCCACACUUAUUGCUGCUCUCAAAGGACAUGCUGUUUUGGACCUCUGUCAUCUUAUCUAUAGAUAGCAGAUUAGUGAAUACUGGAUAGUAAGGAACCUAAGAGAACUCUUAUCUAAGUAAUUCUUAUUUUGAUGAAUAACAUCUCUUCUUUACUCCGGUGUCUUGUUUUGCUUAUAAUCACCAGUGUACUUGAGUAGUAAUUUUAAAUAGAAUAAAAUAUUAAAGAGCCUUCGGAUUAAUAAAAAUUGAAGAAAUUGACUCGGGAACGAAAUUUGUUGGAGUAUUAGUAUUAGAUUAUAGAAAUUUUUAGCCACAUAUGUUCUUGGAUAAUCUGGACUGUAUGUUCUUGAGUAUAAAAAACUCAAAUAACUUUUAGUGUAUGUGUGAAACUUUAUUUCUUCUGAAGAAUACCGAAUGUGGUUGAAAGUUGAGAGUGUGAUAUAACUUUAGUGGGAGAAGGGCUGACAAGAUCCUAUGCUUUCUCAGGUUCUGAACGUUCCCAACAAGAAUCAAAUGUACUGCUUGUUUUACUCCAAUGUACGGAGAGGGGAAUGCAUCCAAGCAUUAGACUUGAAUCUCUCCAGGUAUAUUAUCAUUCUUCUUUUGUUGCUUCAAGAUUCCUUUCAUUCUUAAUUAAAUUGAGCUCACAAAAGAAAACAUAUUAGGGAUGGACAUUUUAGUGGGGAAUUUAGGAAAGGCUGCUUUUAGCUACAUGGCAAUCUGCUGAGAUUUGAUGAACAAUUUACUUAUUCAAAAUUCUUUGUAAGGCCGGAGAUCAGUUAAUAAGAAUUUUCUAUUAUGAUAAUGUAUGCCCACCUAUUUAAUAAUAAUUUAGGAUCGGAUCUUAAACCACUUUAGCUUUGGGGAAUUCACUAAUAUUUGGAUUGAAUGAUCUGGGAUUGUUUGGAGUUCACAGGUUUUGAUUAGAUUGAAUCAAACUUGGUCAGUGUUUGGCCUAGAAUUUGAGAAGUGAUUUAAGGCCAAAAGUAAUUUUUCCUUCAAUAGGGCGUUUGACAACCUCUUUUCAAAAUCUGAUUCUGAUUUUUAGAAUCAGUUUUCUGAUUUUCGAGGCCCAAAAUCAGAAGUAGCUAACACUUGCUUCUUGAAAUCCAAUUAUGAUUUUGGACUUAAAUUUUAAAUUUUAAUUUUGAUUUUGAAUUCAAAUUUUAAAUUUAAAUUCCAUUUUUAAAUCUUUAAUUUUUUUAAAUUUUAAAUUUUAAUUUUAAUUUUUUAAAUUUUAAAUUUCAAAUUUCAAAUUUUAACUAUUAAAUUUUGAAAUUUAAAAUUUAGAUAUUCAAUUUCAAAUUUCAAAUUUCGAAAUUCAAAUAUCAAAAUUUAAAUUUAAAUUUUUAUUUAAAUUGAAUUUUAAAUUUAAUAUUUAAAAUUUAGAUCUAAAAUUUAAAAUUUAAAAUUUAAAUUUAAAUUGAAAUUUAAAUUUAAAAUUCGAGUUUUGAAAUUUAAAAUUUAAAUUUAGAUUUUAAAUUUCAAAUUUUAAAUUUUUAAAUUUUAAAUUAUAAAUUUUCAAUUAUCAAACUAACAUUUUAAAUUAAAAUAUCAACUUUUAAUUUUUUUUUCAGAUUUUAAGUUUUAAAUUUCAAAUUUCAAAUUUAAAUCCAAAUGUUAAAUUAUUUUAAAAUAAAAUUUAGUUAAAAAAUUAUUAUUUGCAAAUAGCAAAAUUUUUUUGCCAAACAGUUUUUACAAAAUUAUUUCAGGAAAAUCGCUUUCCAUCUAAACUCAGCCAAACGUUCUACAACUUUUAACCAAAAUCAGUUCUCUAAGCCAAAAUCAAUUUUACAGAAAUCACUUCUCCAGCAGUUAGGCCAAACGGGCCCUUGAGUGGUUUGGAUUGGUUUGUUAAUUUGAAAGAUAUUUCUUCAGGAAUAUAAUUUGCAGCAAGAAAACUUUGCGGCAAUAUAAUUCCAAUACGAUUUCAAUAUCAUUAGAUUAGUUAUAUGAAUAGGUUUGUGAGCUCAUUAUGUUAGCUAUUUGGUUUGUGUUAUCCCUCACUAGCCAAAUUUGGUGGUUGUCCCCAUGGAAGACCCAGUUUGGCUGGCAGACCACUUUCUCUUGAUUGGGCUAUAUAUGUUUGUCAUAGAUUGAGCUCUCUUCAUAUCAAAUGUCACUCUGUUGGAAAGAAGGAAAUGUUACUUGUUUUUGGUGGAAUUUGUUACAAAAUCUGAGUGCUGAGGCUUAAUUUGGAAUGCUUUCCACUUUGAUGCCGUAGAGCUCAAAGAGCGAGAGAGAGAGAGAGAGAGAGAGAGAGAGAGAGAGGAAAAAGGAAGCACUUUAGAGCUCCAUUUUUCCAAAGCUGAAAAGUAACACUGGGGCCUUCUACCAAAGAAGCACCCAGUAGUAUGCUUUUGUGUUGUGCUUUAAAAUUCAGUAUUGAGAAUUUUGAACCUAGGUGAAAUUACUUGGAACAUAUCUCAUUGAAGGGGUUUGGUUUUAGUAAGAAAGGCCUCAAUAUGGGUCACAAAAUAAAUCUUCAGCAAUGUUUUGAUAAUUUUAUUACAGUUCUCUUUGGUUCCUUAGAUGCCAUCUUUUUCUCAUUUUCUUCUUCGUUGUCGAUACUCUCCUUUGGUUUCAAGUCAUCAACUGAAAAGCAAUAUAAUGAAGGGUUUUUAGCUGUAUACUUUUUUUUUUUUUUCUAAAAUCAUGCUCUUCCUUUCUUCUUUCUCUUUUUUUGCACCCUCCUUUCAUUCCCAUUGUUCUCUGAGUAUACUAUGUUUUUGGAGUUCUUGUAUUCAACACCUACUGAUUGGAAACUACUGAGAAAUAGUUGUCAACACACUAAGUUUAUGUAAAAGGUGGCGUAGCUUUUAUAUGUUAAUGGUUUAAUCAACAACAUUCUUCAAGACAUCUUUUCUGCAGUUCUACUAACAUAUUCUUCCUUUUGUCUCUUAAAAUGCCUUUUGAUAUGUUUACAGGCACUUAGAGCAGUAUCUCACAAUUACCCUAGCACUGUAAAGAGAACCUGGAAGCAAGUUUUAGCUAUCAUUAAUGACUUACUGCAGAUAGAAAAUCUUGGUGAUCUUAGUUAUGGAGUUGUUUCUCGGUCAUUGAAAGGAGAUAUUGAGAAAACAGUAGGGUCAACCGCAGAGAAGAGCAUCGUGGCUGGUAUUAAGGUAAUAUCUCUUUGUAUUCUUGUGAUAGCUGUUUACACUCAAAUAUUCUUAUUGUUUGGUGAUACAUUUAUAUUUUUUAUCUUCAUCAAGAUGGUGGUUCUCAUGCAAUACUAAUAUAUUUGAUGGCAUUUUUUUGUGGUGCAGUAGUAAAAAUCUUUUUUUUACAACUGUAGGGUCACAGGUGGUGCAAGACACGAAGGCAUAGUAUUACCAUUUGUACAGAUUAGUUUUGUUUCUCAAGUUAGGGUUGUCAACCUAAUGGUAACCUACCUUAGUUGAAUGGCAAGAUGGAGGUGGAUGUGAUGGGUCAGAGCUUGUUAAGCAAGAUUCACAACUAGUAUCUAGGUGUAGAAAGGGAUUUGGGACGUGUAGAAGUAUGCUUAGUCGGCAGCCAAAUCAUUCUCUAUCGAAAAAAAGUGAUGACAGUAUUGACAUAGAAGCAUUCAGCUAACUCUGCAUUAGCAGGAAGGCAGCUACAGUAAGAUAAAGUUUAUGGCUCUGUUUGGUAACGGAACAUUUGAGGAAUAACACUUUUUAUCCUUAUUAUUCUCCUAAACAAAAUAAAAUUUGUCAGGUAUAAUUUAUUCUGGUCAAAGCGGGUUAUUCCAGUUGAUCCUGGAAUAACCCGUUAGUUAUAUUUGCCCCCACCCCUAGAAUAAAGUUUAUCCUUGGUGAAUUCAGGGGUGGGGCAAUAAACAAUGGUUUUUUUCCUUCUCUUUCUAAUGCCUCGACCCACGCACCUCUCUAUUUAUGACGCCUCGACCCCCGUAUCCCUACUUUACUCCAUCCUCCCAUCCCGUUUCUAUAUAUAGUAUUUACUAGUAUAUAUAUUAUUAGUAUAAAUUUAAUUACUGUAAUAGUACUUGCAUAUAUAUUAUACUGUAUAUAUAAUAAAGAUUAUUUCUUAAUCAUGUUGAUUAAUAAAUUACUUUUUACAAUUAUUGAAAAUAUAUUUUACAUUUUUUCAUGUGCUAUAUAUUCUAUAACACAUGCUAUGAAUGUGAGACACUCAUAAGGGCAAAAUUGGCAUUUAAGAAAAAUUCAAUUAACUUUCUUUUACUAUUCCUCUCUUCUUUCAAGAAAUUAACCAAACAUCAUAUUGCUUAUACCCUAGUAUAAGUUAAUAUAAAUCCAAACAAAAAAUUAUUGGUAUUCCUCUCUAUUCUAGAAUAUUGAGAUAUACCAAGGAUAAAAAAAUUUAUCCCGUGUGACAUAAUUCCAUUGCCAAACGGAGCCUAUAAGAAAUAUCAAGAAAUAUUUCGGUUUUAGGCUAAGAUUCACAAAAUAAGGACAUUUUAUGAAGCAUAUGGUGAUUUUUGGUGGAUCUAUCUGUAGUCUGUUUGGUAAUGCACUACAUGCAAUGCACUUACGUGAAACAGCAUUGAAUGGAAAUCAUUCAAUAGAAUGCUUUGAUCAGAAUGGAGAUUUCAUUUCGUAACUGAACUUAGUGGAUUUGGCCCACGUGAUGCUAUUAUAUGGAAACAAAUGGAUGGCUUACAAUCCGCCUUACUAAACACAUCCUGGAUGCGGCCCAUAGUUUCUAUUAGAUGCUUUCAUGCUGUUAUUACUCUGUUGUUUUAGCAUUUUGAGGGCUGGAAUUUUUACAAAAUGCUCACAUUUCUUUGUUUACUUUGGAUGGUAGUUUAAGUUUGAAGGCAAACUGUAGUUAAAGUUAAACUUAAUUUACGUCAUAUAUCUGCAACAAUUUAAAAUGGCUGUAUAGUUAUAUCCUGGAAGGACAGCAAAUAACAUCUUUCGUGAAUGUUAUUUGCUGUUCUUCCACUAUUUUAGUUGGUGGCAAUGUGAAUUCUGAAUUUCUAAUUUAUACAAUCUUAAACAUUUAAACAUGGAUGUGUCUGACAGCCAGGGGGAUGAGCCUAAUAAGGUUGCCAAUGAAUUCUGCUUUUCAAUAUGUUAAAGGUCUCUCUAUAUCAAAGAAGAAACUAAAAACUCUGUUAGACAUCGACCUGUUGUAUUUAAGUAAUAACAUUUAUUGUGAAAAGUUGUAUGAACCUGCUACUUCAACAGAGAAGGCAUCAGUUACUGUUUUUAGUACUCUAUGCUCAAUGAAGUUAAGCACCUUUUUGUAGUAGUCUUUCUACAUUACCCCAGAAUUUGAAUCUGGCUUAUGAUUUUAGGUUUUAGAUGCGUGUCUACGUGCAGCAUCUGGUUUUAAAGGAGCUGGUGACCUCCUAGAAUGCAGAUUACUGGAUAUCCAACAAGAUUCCGACUACACCAAAAAGAUAAAGAUUUCAUCUGCCCCUUCUUAUGAACUUGAAAGUCCAGAAGCCUUGGAAAGCUAUACACCAGAUAUCUUAUCUGGGAUUCUGCAGUGGAAUGAAGCAAUUAAAAUGCUUCUUCCCCGGGCUUCGUCACAUACUUCCCCUAUGGUGCUUAUACUUUUUUCCACCGUUUGCUUAAUUUCUUCUUUUGCAUACUCCUUUUUAUGCAUUCUUCUCCUGUGCGAGCUUAGUGGGUCAUAUAAUUUCUGUUUAGGUCAGGGCAGCAGCAAUCACAUGUUUUGCUGGAAUGACUUCAGCCGUUUUCUUCUCUCUGACUGAAGACAAGCAAGAAUUCAUUUUAUCUACAUCUGUAGGUUCAGAAAUUCUUUUGCUUAUAUUUGGAAACCAGAUGUAUCUUAACAUAAACAUUGAAACAAAAAAAGGCUAAAAUGCAGAUAAAAUCCCUGAAUAUAUCUAGAUUUGCACUAUGCCUCCCUCAAUAAUUAAAACAUAGAGAUAUCCCCCUAAAUUUAUAUGUUUUUUUAUGUUAGUACUUUAAACCCCAUUCUCCUUUUUCCUCUUUCUUAGGGUGCUAAUGUUCAGGAUAUUGUGGUAAACUGAGGGUUUAUCUAUAGGCUUUGAUUGUUAGUGGGGGCAAAGUGCAAAUUACAGUAUAUAGUUAUCUACAGUGUUACCUGCAUUUUGGCCUCAGGAAAUUUUUUCAAGUUUGUUGUGUUUAUGUUGUCAGUGAGUAUUUUGUGAUUAUUUUGUGUAGGUCACUGCAGCACUAAAUGAUACAGUUCCAUCAGUCAGAUCAGCUGCAUGUCGAGCAAUUGGCGUAAUUGCUAGUUUUCCUCAAAUUAUGUCCAAGUAAUAUGCUAGACUUUCUUGGAUGCUUAUAGGUACAAAUAGGGUUAGUUACAAAUUUAGUCCUUUGAAGUAUGAUCCUGAUUUCAGUCAUGUCCUCGAAGUUUCAGUUUUAGUAAUUUAGUCCCUGAAGUUCGGCUGACGUAACAAUUUAGUUCCAGGAUUAAAUUAUUCUCUAUAUCAAGCCACAUCAGUAUCAUUGUUAGAAUUUAGUAAUUUACCAACAUGGCAAUCUUUUUAGGUUUCAAUUCUAACAUUGAUGUUGACUUGAUGCCUUCUUUUGAUGACACAUAACUUAAUUGUUAUGUGGAAUAAACUUGACCAAUUUGCUACAGUUGAAUGUCUAAGCGCAUAAUUGAAAUCAGAAUCAACCUUCAAAGACUACUUGUAAUUUAAUCCUUGUAUGGAAAUAAUUGAUAUAGGUGCUAAUAAUCUGUCAAUUAACUGUUCCUGUUUGUAGAUCAAGGGUGCUGAAUGAUAUCAUUCAUGCAGCUGAAUUUAAUACACAUGAUCCAGUAGUCUCAGUAUGUAUCAUUCCCAUUUUUCUCUAAAUUUUAGUUUGUAUUAUAAUAUUAUAUUCUACUAUCCAGUAAUAUGAAUCCUUCUCUUAUCAACAUUUAGGUGCGCAUUACUGCAUCAUGGGCUUUAGCAAAUAUUUGUGAUUCUCUUCGCUAUAACUUCACUGAAUUGCGCAAGGAGAGUUAUGCAGGUACUUUCUGACAUUUAAAUUUAUCUGGCAUAUGUUAUUUCAGGUUGAUUUAACUUAGUAAAUUGUCACAUGCAGAUGAAUUAACAGAGUCUAUCAUUCCUUUAUUAGCGGAAAGUGCGUUGAGAUUAACUAAAGAUGGCGAUAAAGUAAGAAUUCAGCAUUCAGGUUUCCCAUGUACUGUUACAAAUGCGUUUUUGCUCCUUCAGCUGCCAUUUUGGCCUAUUUAUGAAAUUAGAUGGCAUAUUAUCGAUUUAUGAUAUUGUCGCAUUCGAUUUACUGAUAUUGCUGCAUUUGAUUUACUGAUAUUGUCGUAUAUCUUAAUUUUCUUUGGUUCACUGAAUCGAACAUAGAUGUGUAUACUUGAUCAAUAUUGGCUUAUAAAUUGGUUAAGCAAUAUUGCUUUAUAAAUCUGUUAAUCACAUGUAACAUCCAUUGGUCAGUCGUUCCAUAUUGCUUUUUACUUUUUUAUCUAAUUUAUAUUGUUGCCUGUCCUCUUCCUUGUGUCCUUCAUGGUGACUGUUGCACGAAUUAUAGCAUGUCGUCCCUUUAUGAAUAAAGUUCACCUUUUUGUACCAACUCCUUUGGUUCACGAAAGCAUUUCUCUGUCAUUUUGAACCCAGUAUUGUGGCUUGAUAUGAAAUAUCCUCGUAAUAUAAGUACUAGGUUUAGAUGUUACUUUUUUGCACAUGAGCUGGAUUCUUUUAGGAUCCCUCUUCUGCAGUUUUAGUAUUUAUUCAUGAGUCCUAAACUGAAGGGAAUACACUUGUUAUAGAUCAAGUCCAAUGCUGUAAGGGCUCUUGGGAAUCUGUCAAGAUUUAUCAAAUUUGAUGACCAUUCUUCUGUUACCCAUUUGCCAAGGUAUCUUCGAACUUUAUGUUCAUCUGCUGUGUGUGCUAUGUCGCUAGAAACUUUUACAUUGGUAAAACAAGUGAUUUGUGAAUUCCUUAUUGCAAGCAGUGGUUCAGUGUCAGCAUCACAUGGAGAUUCUCAUUGGCUAGAAAGAAUGGUGCAAGCGUUUGUUUCAUGUGUGACCACUGGGAAUGUAAAGGUACAUUUAUCAUGGUUUUCUCUAAACUAAUGAUGGCUUGAAAUAGCUCAUAUGGCUAAUAGAUUAUGACUGGGUCUUUACGUCCUGUUUGAUCGGUCUUGAACUCAUGUAGAUGGGAUUUCUAAGUAAAGCUGUUUGAAGCGCAUUAAACAUAUUUUUGUUAAUAUCCUACCCUACAGCUUCCCCAUGCCAUAGAAGCUGAGAUGCAUGAGCUUUAAAGUGGAGGUUUUGCUUUAGCUCAAUUUGGCUCUCAUCACUGCAAAAUCUCCUAAACUUUAUUUGCUGAAUGCAUGGUUGCUGCUAUUCAGUGUUGAGAAACUUUUCCCAAACAGGCAUCUAGUUUCAAAGAUGGAUGCGUAUACUGAUGAUUUGAUACUGUUAUAGUUUCUUUUAAGUAACUGCAAUAAGUACUAUUUCUUGACCCAGCAAAGUAGUCCUAAUUUUGUUGGAUUUCUGUCAGGUUGUCAGAUCAACUCUUUUGCUACUAACUUUUACUUGACUUUUUUUUUUUCUUUUUUUUUAUUCAGGUCCAGUGGAAUGUUUGCCAUGCUUUGAGCAAUUUAUUCAUGAAUGAGGCUUUGAAGCUGCAUGAAGUGUCGUGGUAAGGAAUCUUACUACUUCAGAGGGUAAUACUAUUAUUAUGUCAUUGAAAUAGCAAAUUCGCAAAGUCUAUGUUACUCUACUAUAGUUAGAUACUUAAAAUUUUUGUUCUUGCUUGAAACAUGAAAUCUGUUCUCUUUAUCAGAAAGCUGUGGAAACUUUUCCUAUUGCUUCAAGAAAUUUGUUUCUUUGGUGCCCAUCAUUUUUUUUCCUAUCUUAUUUUUCAUAACUUUGUAAUUUUCUCACACCUGUACUUAUGAAGUAUUUUUUAGAACUUUUCCUCAUUAUCUUGAAAUAAGAUGACUUCCAUCUUGUACCGCCAUGCCUCUUCGCUAGCUGCUCGGUCGAGAUUGUGAUUUCAACUGAUCAUCUUCCCAUCCACAGCCUAAAUAAUUCUGCAAUCAUAUGCACUUAUCGCUUGUUGGCACAUAUAUUACAAAUGAACCGUAGCAAUUAGACACACUUAUCGCUUGCUGGUACUUAUUAUCGUUGUCAUUGAUACAUUGCAUUUUAUUAUGUAAAUUUGAUUUCGAGGGCAGCCCAGCUGGAUUUAUUCUGCUUAUGAGUUUGUGGCCGCACUUUUCUUUUGAUGGUGAACAUUAAAAAUUGUUCUUACAGUAGGCGUCUUUUCUGUUGAACUAUUUUUUUUUAUCUGUUGUGAUUUUGUUUGAUUCAUCAAAUAUUGAGUAUUGACAUAACAAUUGAUAGCCUAGUGAUUGUAGCUUGUCAUCUGAGCAUUUUUAACAGGGCACCAGCUGUUUUUAGCAUUCUUCUGCUGCUUCUUCGUGACUCGACCAAUUAUAAGAUUAGGAUCCAUGCUGCUGUUGCAUUAGCUGUGCCAGCAUCAAGGCUUGGUUAAGCUCUCUCUCUCUCUCUCUCUCUCUCUCUCUGUGCAUGGUGUGCGCUCAUGUGUGGGUGCAUGUCCACGUUUGUUAUGUGUUUUCUGUUGUGUGAAAUGUAGGAUUUUGUGCCUAUAUUUCCUCCCUUUUCAUUCAAACAAAAAAGGAAGAGUUUUUUCUUUUCUGUUUUUGUUGAGGGUGUGGGGGCAAAAAUUUGUUUGAGAUGAAAAAGAAAUGAUAAGGAAAACAAAAUAAAAUGUAACUUUCUAACUAUUUGGGGACAUUGUAGCAUAAUGAAUUUUUUUUGAAAGUUCUAUUUUGAAAGGAUGCCCAGAAAGACUCUAUAUGUUGUUGGGAAGUCAUAGCAACUUUGAUUAUUUAAGAUAUAUGGGUUCUCUCAGGUGCAUCUUUAAGAUUUCACGCAAUUGUUUUGGUGCACUUCAGAUUAUGGGAGCUCUUUUUCGGACAUUCUUCAAGGUCUCAUUAAUGUGCUUGAGUCGUUGAAUUCAAACUACUCUUCAUCACCUUCAAGCUUCAAAUAUAAGGGCAAUCUCGAAAAGCAGGUGGGAAUUAUUGAUGUAUUAAGACUUUUGAGGAACUUUUUGUUAUCAAUUAACUGACCUAUAUAGCUUCUCUUUCGCCAGCUUAUGUUUUCUACUUUGCAUGUUCUUGGUUUCAUUUCAUCUACGGAUGAUCAAGCUUUAAAGGAUUUUCUUGUCAAGGUAUGGAUGAAUCCUUUUUUCUGGAUGCCGUUUAGCUUCAUUAUUUCCAUAUAACAUUUUUAGCAACAGUAUUGGGUGAAAUCUAUGCAAUGAUGAAUAUUCUUCUUUGUAGUCGACAGUAUUUUUGGGCAUCUUGAAUAGUGUUGGAAAUGGUAGUUGCUAUAGCAUCGUUUUUAUAAGUUUAUGAACAUGUACUUGUGGAGUAUUUCUUGUUCUAGUACUCGCCAAAUUUUAUUAUUGUUCUUUUUUUUUUUUUUCAAAUUUUCGUUCAAACAAAUAUUCGUUUAAACAUGGAUAGAAUGACAUGAGGCAGAAUAGUAUCCUUUUGCCUUCAGAACCCUUGAAUUCAGCAAUUAGAUUUAAAAAGGGAAUCUGCAAUCUGGAAUGGGCAUACAAUUUGAACUUUAUGUGAAUCUGUACUCAUAUCAACUUGUAGUUUAAAUAGAGUUUCACUACUUUUCCGGUUUUGCAGGGAUGCUCUAUAAGCUUUAUGAUUGAAAUCAUUCAACUAACAAUAAAACCUGUUGUGUUCCUCGCUCAGAAAGCAGUAGAUGAGAAGAUAUAUAAAACGGAAAAGUAAACUACUGUUGGGGAAGCAAGUAGGCAAUCUUCCAAUGAAUGUAUAGAUACCAAGUUCUAGUGUAGACCAAAAUCGAUGUCUUAAUGAUAUAAUCAUAAUAUGUUGCUGUGGAUAGUUUAAUUUGCGACUGUCGAUGAACUAUUGGACUCUAUAUAGAACACUAACUAUAUAUGCGUUCUUCAGUAUCACUUUUUUUCAGUAUCACUUUUUUUCUCAUGGAAAAAAUUCUCCAGUAUCGUCUUUCUUAUGAUUAAACUUCUUGGUAUAUUUCUCAAUUUUCAUGCCAUUUUUUUCUUCUUUUUGUUUUUUUUUCUUCAGAAAGCAUCUUUUCUGGAGGAGUGGUUGAAGUUGUUGCUCUUAUCUUUAAAGGAGGAAGACAACCAUCCUUCGGCUAGCAAGGCUAGUAAUGGGGAUAAGCAGGAGGAUGGCGGUUCUUCACUAUCAUAUGUACCAAAUAAAAUGAUGUUAUUUCGAGCUAUCAACUCCUUGCUUGAUCUCUAUAAACGCAAUAAUCACCAAACCAUUGCUCAGAGAUUCGAAAAUUUGGCAAGCAACCUAUAUCAUCAAUGAUUAAUCUUCUCCUCGCUGCUGUUAUUAUUGUAACAAAGAUUUACUAAUUUAGCAGCUUUUGGAAUAUUCAAUAGGAAUCACUUCGUACACAAUCAAUAUCUGGUGUUUGCAGAAGUUAUAUUUCUUCUAAAGCAACCAACUCUCCAUGUUCGGAACAAUCAUGAUAGAUGCAACAUUUAUUUCAUUUUCUUUGUAAUGUAGAAAAUGGUUUGUUAAACUGUUUGUAACCUAUCGUGCUCUUUGUAAAAGCUGAUUUUGAUUAUAAGAUGUAUAUUAAUUAUGCCAGCAGGUGCUUUUUCUUCGCAAACUCUUAAGCAUUAUGUGGAUUCUUUACUGCAGAAAAAAAUGUAUCCCUGGUGCUACUUGUGGUAGCAAUUGUUUUUGUAAAGAUCCAACCCGCUAAUAAUAAUAACUUGUUGGAUCCAAACCACCGGUCCAAAAUGUUUAAGCCCAAUUAUUAUUACUAGGAUGCAAGGCCUCUUAUAAUCCGAUGAGAAUCAUGUUUCUAUUCGAUGUGGGACUAUUGGAUGUUACAGGUUUUGUACUAUAUAUUUCGUCAUGAGGUAAUUAUGAACCAAUUGAGCUGUAAUCCAUUUCCGUGCAUCGAUUGUUGGCAAUUAUAAUUCCAUUUGCCUUUGCGUAAUUAUCUAUCUUGGAAGGUAAACUCUUGAGUCUAAAUUCUUCUGAAACUUUGCGCUGAUCUAAAAGUUAAACAACUCCAUUUUCUUUACAGGGAAUUGGCAGGCGGUAUGAGGAGAAUCUUGAAGGCCUGAUAUUUCAUCAUGCUGUUGCCUGUUGCUAAUGUUGAACAACAUUAUUGUCAAAGAGACCUUCAAUCGCGAGAAACACCAUCGACAUGUUUGGGUACGUAUGAAAGCGCCAAUUAUCGUUUUUGUUUACCAUUACGUUAAGCAAAUUUGGCCUAGCUAUACAAUCUGAGUGCCAUAAUGAUAUUUAUUAAUUUUAGUACUACUAAAACAUCAAGGACCAGUGCUAAUGAUAGAGCUACUGACAAUUACGUUUGAUCCUGUUGGCGUCUGCAUGAUCAGCUUUUCUAUAUUAUACUAUGUUUUGUUAAUAGUAAUUUCAGCUAUCUUAGAUAUUACUACCCUGCAGUGAGGGUUCUCUCGAACUUGGGGUCUAUGCAUUGCACUAUUGCAGGCCUAUGUUGGGGAACAUUUUGUACCUAAAAGUUAGUCAAGCUAGAAUACUAUCAAUAUUAUAUAAAUAGUGUCUGCCACUAAUUUUUUAACCCUUGGAUUCUUAGGCCCUGUUUGGUUCGGAAAUAACGAACAUUAGGAUAUAUUUUUUUUAUUCUUAGAAUAACUUACUAUUUCGAAAUAGUCAAGAAUAAAAGUAAAAUUGCGUUUAGUUUGUAGUGCUGCUAUUUUCAGAAAUAAUUAAAAUUGUGUUUGGUUAAUUUUAUGGAAUUGUAGAAGAUAGUGGAAAAAAUAAUGGUUGAAUUUGAUAGAAAAUAGAUUUAAUAAAAAUAAUUUAUAAUAAAAUUUAAUAAAAUAAUUUAUUACAAUAUUUAAGUAUAAUUUAUUAUAAUAUUUAGUAAUAAAUAUAAAUAAUAUGUUUUAAUAUAGUACAUAAUUUUUAAUAAAAAUAUUAAUUUAAUUUAUAAUUUUAAUAAAGUUUGGAAUUAAAUUUUAAAAUAGUACUCUUUCACCAAAAGGGUGGAAUAGUUUACAUCAAGCUAUUCUGGGAUAAUCGGAAAUAGUAAAGUUUUAUCGGGACAAAAUAUUUCGGUCAAAAGAUAUUUAUUUCGUUUGCCAGCAGAUCUUGGAACCAACUGGGGCUUUAGGAUUUACUAUUUGGUGAGGGUAUUAUGGAUGCAAAGGGCUAAAAAGUUAGAUGAGCUAUUAAUGGUAGACAUUGUUUGUAGCCUCCUCCCACUACUAGGGGAGGAAUGCAUUGUUUCAAAGCAUUCAUUUACUCAUCUACUUGAUUUUAUGACCUCCUCAAUUCACAGCUAUUUUUCACUGUCACAGGACCUCACUUGUGGUCCAAAGGUUUUUUUUUAAAAAAAAACAAAAAAAAAAACCCUAUGUAUCAUUGGCUAUGGCUACUGUACUCUUAUGAGUAUAAGUUUUUUUGUACUUAUAAAUUUUCGGCCAUUGGAUAAAGAUAUGUGCGGUUAGGAUCACAGUGAUCCUCUAGGGUUGAAUGGUUGGUUGGUUGAAUAGUAUGAUCUGAUGAAUGAAAAUAAUCAAAGGAAUAGAUUUACGGUCGAAAAUUUAUGAGUACAAAUAAAUUUAUACUCAUAAAAAUAUAGUAGCCGGACUCAUGCAUCAUUUGAAUCAUUUUAAAGAGGAAAGAGGCCACAGUUUUAUUUUGGUCCUUUUCACCAUCUGGAGGUGUGCAUAUGAUAUAACUAAUAGAAAAAACUAUGACUGUGUGUAGUGUAAAAAUGACUCUGUUAAUAACACCAUUCUAAAAAAUCAUAAUUUAUUAGGUUUUAAUAUUAAUUUUGACAUCUUAAUUAAGCGAGCAAUUUAUUAAAAGAAAUGCUUUACGGGCCAUUUCUGUUAAUAACUAAUUCAAAAUGGUCCGUAAUUUAUGUAAGCUUUAUAUGUUUUCUUUUUUUAAACUUAUUUAUUGGAAGAACCCUAAUCUUAUAAAAGGCUACUUGUGGACAUCACUGGCUCUGUACGGGACUGGGGCCCAUUUAACGGAUAAGAGCAAUUAUUCUCUAUGAACAGUAUAGCUUUAUUAGAAACCACGUGACACAUGAAUCAGAUCUUGCAUCAAGAUAAUUAAAUAAUUAAUUAGAUUCUUGGUCCUAAAUCUUUCUCUGAUAUUAAUUCACAGGGCCAAAGCAUAAUGUACUAGAUGAUUAAUAGUUCAAUAAUAAUACUAUCCCCUCAAGUGUUAGUUAAUACACUUAUGGGGACACACGUAGGAACACAUAUUCGCAUUUCGACAUAUGUCCCCAUCCGAAUUUGCAUCUAUAAAAGAAUAUGGAUGUUAGUAUGGUCUCGUCAAAAAUUCGACCGUAUUCGACUGUUUUCAUCCCUAAUCAUAGUUACAUAAAUUGAAUUCAUGUUUGAUUCCAAAAUACUGAGAUAUCGAUGCAAAUUCCUUCCUAUCAAUUUAGAAAAGUUCAUAUUUUAAAACAAAUAGCAGUAGGUUCUUUAAAAAUUAAUUGUUUAUUCGUUCUUGUAAGAAGUAUUGCAGAAAAUAUCUAUGAUCCAGUAAAUAACUUUUUAAAUUACAACUGAUUGGCCCUAGAGCAAGUGGCAAAGGGCUUGGUGGUUGGUACCCGAGACCCGAAUUCGAAUCCUAAGUUGAUUCACAUUUCUAACUAAGUUUAUUUUUAAAUGAAAUAAACGAAGCGGGUAGUGUGCUAUCUAUCUCUGAAUAAAAACUUGGUGGUUAAAGAUUAAAAACUCUGAAAUCUUGUCGAAUUAAUAGUCAUACAACGUAAACUAUUAGGGAGAGAGAGAGAGAGAGAGAGAGAGAUAAAUAAUAAUAAAAAAACCCCUGGGUAAAAUGUUAUCCAUUCAUCCCACAAAUUUCACCACGGUAUCACACCCCAGUAAUACAAAGGGAAGUGUUUUUAGGUGAAUCCUUCUUAUUUCAAGUUUUUUUAAAGAUAGUACCCAUCUAAACCUAAAAACUGUUAAUUGAUAUCUGUGGUUCGUAAUAAACCAAUUUAUUUAUACGAUUUCUAUAACAUAAAGGAGAAAGGAAUAACUACUUACCUAGUCUAGGUUAACUUUUUGUUUGUUUUUCCUUUUUAUUUUUUUUAUUAUGUACAAGAUACAUGGGAGUGGUAAAACAUCAAAUUUUUCAAAAAAAAAAAAAACUCUCUNUUGGAAAAUACUUUUUUUUCAGAUUUUUUUGCUCAUUUAGUUCUAAAGAAAACUAGCCGUUUUGAAAUUUUUUUUUCAGAUUUUAUGAAAAACUAGUAUUUUCAUCUUUUAUUUUUGUUAACAAAUAAAAAUACUAGUUUUUCAUGAAAUUUAAAAAUUUGUUUCAAACAGUUAGUUUUUCUUAGAACCAAACAAACAGAAAAAUAAAAAUAGGCUAGUUUUCUAUAAAUUUUUUUUCUAUAUAUUUCCAGAAAACAGUUUUUUUAAUUGGAAAAGUAAUUUUUGUUCGUUUGAUUUCUAGAAUUUUUUUUUUUUAAAUUGUUGUCUAAAUUUUAUGAAAAAAAUCUUCUUUUUAUUUUUUUAAAAUUUUCAUUCAGAAAAUAAAAAUCAUGGAAAUGAGGUUUUCUAUGAAACACUUUUUCUUUAGAAAAAUAAUUUUUCAUGAUUUUCUAAAAAAAGAAACAGUACAAGCUGGACAGUGUAUCAAUAAUUGAAUGUUUUCAUCAGAAAUUUACAUAUAAACAGUUCCACAUCAAAUAAUUAUAAAAAAGUUAAAAUUUAAUAUAUAUAUAUAUAUAUAUAUAUAUAUAUAUAUAUAUAUAUAUAUAUAUAUAUAUGUCUAUUCUAACUGAUUUUAGCUUUGAAAUCAGUCGAAUUUUAUUAGAUACAUCGCAUUUUUAGCGUACGAUGAACAUAAAUUAAAAUAGAAUUCUAUCAAUCAAUCCUAAAACAUUAUUGUGAUGAAUGACUAAUAUGAAUCAUUUUUUAUAAAAUUGUAUACAUGAAUUAAUUAAAAUUAUCUGUGCAUGAACAAUUAUCGAAUGGCAAUAUUAAUAUAUUUAAACUUACUAUACAUGUAUCACAUUUAAUGAAUGAUAACUAGAUCAAAUGCAUAUAUUUGUUAAGUUGAUAAUGUCACUAUCUCAACCAAAAUGAUACAUUUUAGUAAGUUUUAUUUUUUAAAAUUUUUUUAUUUUAAGCCUGUGUUACCUAUACACCUCUAGACUCAUAUUCUUUCUAUAGUUUUAUCAAUUAUUUAUUUUUUUUUAUUAAAAUCUAAAUAAAUUUUUAUAAAUCUAGGAUAGAAAGAAUGUAAAACUUAUACCAAUAUAUAGAUACACAAAAAACAUUUUUUUUUGGAUCUUUUAUUAAUUUUUUCUUCACUACUAUUGAAAGUUUUUAAAUUUAUUUCGCAAUACUCCAAAUAUCCUUCUAAAACAUAAUUCCAUUAGUAAAUUCUAAUGAAAUAAAAAAGAAUAUUUAAUUUUUUUUAAAAAAACUAAUAAAAAUAUUUUGGCCAUUUAAAAGUAAAUAAAAUAUUUUUAAAUUUUGUAACAGCAUAUUAGAUGUUAUUAUUAUUAUUUUGACAUGACAGAUCUAUUAAAUGUAGUUAAAUUCAAUAAACAAAUAACAAAUAAAUAAAUAAAUUUUUAUAUAUNUCGACUUUUCACUUUUUUAUUUGAAUUAUUUAAAUUAGAAAUUUUAUUAAAUUUUUUUAAAAAAACUUCAAAUACUAUCUUUAUGGUUUCACACUUUCUCACUUUGGUACCAUAUGGUUUAAACUGUAUCGAUUUAGGAUUCCGUGGUUUUAUUUUUUUCUUUUUAUUAUCUCUUCCAUAAUUUUUUUUUCGUUAAAUCAGUGACAAAGUUAAAACUAAAAGGUAUUAAAAUGAAUAUUCGAUAAACUUAGGUGAGAUAUAUGAAGUUUUUUGUAUAUAAUUUAACGAAAUAUUAACGGAGAAACUGACGAAAAGAGAAAAAUAAAAUCACAGAAUAUUAAAUUAAUACAUUUUAAACUACAUGGGACUAAAGUAAGAAAGUGCGAAACCACAUGGGUGAUAUUUCAAGUUUACCCUUUUAUUUAAUAUCUUCUCAACUUUUCACUUUUUCAUUCGAAUUAUUUGCAUUAUUUAAGUUAGAAAUUUUAUUAAAUUUAAGCCAAUACAAUUUCUAUAUCAUUUUCUAUCAGUGUGAUUUUUUUGAAUAAUAUGAUAAAUCAAAUUUUCGUAUGCAGCUGUCGUUGGCAUGAAAUUUUUUUUUUACUAUUUCUUUUGUUACUUAUCUUAUAGAUUAUAGCAAAUGCAAAAUGGUGUACAUAAAUGAGAUGUUAACACUAUUUCAAAGUUGUUUGCUGUUGAACUAAAUUAGUAAUAUAGUUUCGGAACAAUUUAACAAUAACAUUAUUUGCAGUUAUUCAUUAAUUGAUUUUGUUUUACUUACUACAAAAUUCUUAAACUGUUGAAUUUAAGAUAAUCAUCAGUAAAUUCAAUAAAAAAAACAAAAGUUAAAGAGUAAUUAAUGAUUAUUUAUUUAUUAUUAUUUUUUUUUUGCAGUUGAGGGAUCAUUUAAAGAAUGGACUAAAGUAGAGGGGUGACAAUGCGAAUUGCUAAUUGAGGAUGAAGUCAUGAACACAAGAAAGUGUUAAAUUAUAAGAAGCAACUGCUAUUAUCUAAAAACUUAAACGGAUAGAAAACAACGUUUACAUAUUUUUAUAUUUAACAUCUCCUUAUAUCUGCGCUCGAGACUUUUUACGAAACUCAUUACAUGGACUUGAAUUAAAUAGGAGAAAAUUAAUAAUACUUGGAGCUUAGCAUAAUCCAAACUUAGAAUUUUUUAUUCUGGUACCAUAUUAAAUAAUACGAAGUAAUUGUUAUUCUCUAUAAAAAUUUAAGCAGAUAGGGAACGAUAUUUAAAUAUUUUUUUUUAAAAAAAGAUAACAUAUUAUCUGUUUUAUUUAUUUUUUUAAAAAUAAAAUUAGUUAGAAAUAUGAAUUAAUUAUGAUUUGAGCUUAAAAUUUCGGAUGCAAACCAUUAAGUCCUUGUCAUGCACACUAAAAACAAUCAACAGAAAGAACAAAGCAACCAGCUAAGACACUCUCUCUCUCUCUCUCUCUCUCUCUCUCUCACACACACACACACACACACACACACACACACACACAGCAAUAAUUUUGUUUGUUUUUUUUAAUCAAAGCCUUUUUGCAAGAGGGCCUGAUCCUUCUUCUUGUGAGUUGAGUUUUGAUUCAUCUUUUAUUUUAUUGUUUACAGAGAUACUGUAUAGGGUGUGGUGGGCACUGUCCUACAGAUCAGUUUUUUAUGGUUUUAUGUGAGUUUUUAGAGACACCCAUGUGAACAAACUCUGGGCUUUUUCCAGCAUUUUCUGAGGGAGGUGUGUUUGGUAGCAGCAGCAGCAGCAGCAGCAGUAAUAGCAGCAGUGAUACCAGUAAUAAUAAUAAUAAUAAUAGUAGUAAUAGGGCUCAGCAGUCACUGGCCCCUCUCUCCUCCUCCUUUUCUGGGUCUAGUUGCUGCUACAUUUCCUUUGAUAUUUUUUGCUGGGCCUUUUUAGAGUGUUUAGUGUGCCUGUGAGGGGGGUUAGUGGUGUGGAGUCUCUCACCCUUUUCCCCUUCACCCUUUCUGAUUUGGUUGUGUUGAGUGAGUUCACUGUGGUGGAUCAGAGCUUGGUACCUUCUUUUUUUCUAUACUCUCUCUCUCUCUCUCUCUCUCUCUCUUUGUUCAGUGAAAGUUGGUGGUACAAUCUUUGAUGGUUUCUGCAUUGGAUGCUUCUUCUUCUUCUUUAGUUCUCUGCAAGUUCUGAAUUUUUCCUGCUCUUCUCUGCAAGGUUUGGUACACUUCUCACUGUUCUUGUUCUCUUACUAUUAUCAUUAUUGUUAUUAUUAUUAUUAUUCCCUAAAAAGUCUAUUUUACUUCUGAUCUGUAUUAUGGUCUUAAUUUCUUGCUCAUUUCACAUUGCAACUUGAACAUUUCUACAACCUGUUUCACAAUUUCAAACAUCUUUUUGAGUGUGUUAUCAUUGAUUUCUUUUUCUUUUUUUUUUCCUUGUAUAGUAUUUUAUCUUGUAGUUUAUACUUCCAUUUAGGCAUUAACCAUUGCUUAUCUUUUUUUGUUUUUGUUUUUGUUUUUCUCUUCUAGUGUUGCAUUUUUGGUGUCAAAAGAGUACCUUUUCUUUUUUUCUUUUUUUUUUUUUGUUCUAUGAUGGUUCUUUGGAUUCCUCUUGUUUUGAAAGAGAAAACCCAUCUUUGAUGUUCCCUCUUUUAUCAUCAUUAUUUUUUUGGGGUUCAAGCAUUAUUGCAUUUUAAUUCUUGCAUUUUUUCUUUUUUUUUUUUGGGUGUCAAAAACCAAUCUCUAAUACCAAAAGAAAAUAUUGCAUCUCCUAAAACCCUUGCUUGUUCAAUUAUUACCUUUUUUUUGUGGUGCUGUUGAAAGAGUAAAUUUUCCUGUUCUAUGGUUAUUUUUUUUUUAAUCUCUAAUUUGCAUUCUUGCUCCAAUUCCCUCUUUUAGGUGUAAUGGCAAAGGAACACAAUGCAUCUCCUAAAACCCUUGCUUGUUCAAUUAUUACCUUUUUUUUUUUUUGUGGUGGUGUUGAAAGAGUAAAUAUUCCUGUUCUAUAGCUUUUUUUUUUUUUUUUUAAUCUCUAAUUUGCAUUCUUGUUCCAAUUCCCUCUUUUAGGUGUAAUGGCAAAGGAACACAAUCCAUCUCCUAAAACCCUCCAUUUAGAAUCCAAAAGGAAGCGAAUCGCGUGGAUUAUCAGCGUCGCCGGUCUCUGCUCCAUCUUCUACAUUCUUGGAGCUUGGCAAAGCACAACCACAUCCUUUCUCAAUAACAACAACUUCGCCGCGGUAACCGCCAAAUUCCAAUGUAACUUCCCUUCUUACCGAUCUGCUAAGAAACAAUCGCCGUCCAAAUCGUCGAACCUCGACUUCCAUGCUCACCACCAGGUGGGCUUCAAUGAAUCCUCGUCCGUGCCCGAAAAUUUCCCUGCUUGUGAUCUAAACUUUAGCGAGUACACCCCGUGCCAAGACCCGAGGAGAGCGCGAAAAUUCGCAAAUGAUAUGCUCAAGAACAUGGAGCGGCAUUGCCCUCGGAAAGGCGAGCUUCUCCGGUGCUUAAUCCCCGCCCCGCCGAAUUACAAGAACCCUUUCAAAUGGCCGAUCAGUAGAGAUUAUGCUUGGUUUGAUAACAUCCCUCAUAGAGAGCUGAGUAUCGAAAAGGCCGUUCAGAAUUGGAUUCAGGUCGAAGGGAAGCGAUUCCGGUUCCCUGGCGGCGGCACGAUGUUUCCGAGGGGAGCUGACGUAUACAUCGACGAUAUUAAUGCUCUAAUCCCUUUAACCGACGGAAAUAUCAGAACGGCACUCGACACAGGAUGUGGAGUAUGAAUUUUACCUCUAUGUUCACUCUCUUUCGGCGAUUUAACAUCGAAUGCAACUUGUUAUCUAACAUCUCUCCUUUGUGUUGGAUUACGGAGGUCGCGAGCUGGGGAGCUUAUCUCCUUAAGAGGGAUAUUCUUACGAUGUCAUUUGCGCCGAGAGACUCGCACGAGGCGCAGGUGCAGUUUGCGCUGGAACGCGGAGUCCCGGCGAUGAUCGGCAUUAUGGCGUCGGAGAGGAUUCCGUAUCCGGCUCGGGCGUUCGACAUGGCCCAUUGCUCUAGAUGCUUGAUUCCUUGGAAUCAAUUUGGUAGGUUGAUUUUUCUUCGGUAUUUGCUAUUUGUAGUUUUCUCUUGCAUCUAUAAUUGUUAACAUGUCUUUUUCGAUGCUCAUUAGAUGGAUUGUAUCUGAUCGAAGUGGAUAGAGUUCUAAGGCCCGGAGGUUAUUGGAUCCUCUCGGGGCCGCCGAUUCGUUGGAAGAAGUACUACCAAGGAUGGGAGAGGACAAAAGAAGACUUAAAGCAGGAGCAAGAUGAGAUCGAGGACUUGGCGAAGCGCCUCUGCUGGAAGAAGGUGGUCGAGAAGGAUGAUCUCGCAAUUUGGCAGAAGCCCAUCAACCACGUCGAAUGCGUUCAGAGCCGUAAAGUCUAUAAAACUCCGCAUAUUUGCAAGAGUAACAAUCCCGAUGCUGCUUGGUAAGAACUAUGCAGUUUUUCUUAUUUUAUACAAUUAGUCUUGCUAGUGUCAGCUAAGGUUUUAAGUGUUCAUCGCCACGGGCCGUGUCUACUGUGUCGUACUGUGCUAACAAGAUAUUGGCAAGAUACGACCUACCGAUGUCACGGCUCAAUAUUAUCUUUUCUUCGAAAUUUGAAAGUAGUUAUCUUUAUAAAGUGUAAAAGAUUUGAUUAAGAUAUAUAAUAAGCAAUUCGAAUAUACUGGUGCCAAAGAAAAUAAACAUUUCGUGUAAUGGUUUGCUGACUCAGAGGCAUUUUUGUGACGGGCACACAUACUGUGCCAGCAAGUUCUCGGCACAAUCUCGUGCCACGGCACUUAAAUCCUUGGUAUCAGCGACUUGCUGGAUCUCUGAACCUAAUUUGUCGAUGUUAGCAUGCCGAUUCAUCUAUACAAAACCGUUGUUCCUAUAACUCGAUGUCGGACUAGUGAGGUGCGACGCAUAAUUCCAUAGUGUAAUACAAUAAACAUUAAUGGUGGAAUGAAAUGUUUUAGGUACAAGAAAAUGGAGACUUGUAUAACCCCCUUACCGGAAGUGAACAGUUCAAAAGAAGUUGCCGGCGGAGCACUAGCAAAAUGGCCGGAGAGGGCAUUCGCCGUCCCGCCAAGAAUAAGCCGCAGAUCAAUUCCGGGCAUCACCGCCAAGAAAUUCCAAGAGAACAACAAGUUGUGGGGCGAGCGAGUGAACUACUAUAAGAAGCUCAUCCCGCCUUUGACUCAGGGGCGAUACCGAAACGUUAUCGACAUGAACGCCAACUUGGGCGGCUUCGCAGCUGCGUUAGCGAAGCACCCCCUUUGGGUAAUGAAUGUGGUCACCGCCGAUUCGGGACCGGACACUCUCGGCGCCAUCUACGAGAGAGGCUUUAUAGGAACAUAUCAAGAUUGGUGUGAGGCUUUCUCAACGUAUCCGCGAACUUAUGAUCUCAUCCAUGCUGAUGGUGUGUUCAGCAUUUAUCAGGACAGGUGAAAAUGAACUGACACUUUCAUUUACUUCUCCUCUUUGUUACUUAUUAUUUGUGCAUUUCGGUACUGUUUGAAUCCCCAUGAAUCUGACUAGAGUUUGUAUUCUAUUGAUCAAAUCGUCGCAGGUGCGACAUAACCGACGUUCUCUUGGAGAUGGACCGCAUACUACGGCCCGAAGGGACAGCGAUAAUUCGCGACACCGUCGAUGUUUUGGUGAAGGCCCAGGCCAUAGCCAAUGGGAUGAGGUGGAAGAGCCAGAUCAUGGAUCACGAGACCGGGCCAUUCAAUCCCGAGAAAAUCCUUAUCGCGGUGAAAACUUACUGGACCGGUAAACCGAUCCAGCAGCAGUAACUGCGGCUCCCGAAAAUCGCAGCCAAAUUCGUCGGUAAUUCGCAGACAAUGUAGUAUGAAGUUAUGUGAUAUUUUAUAGUACAUAAAGUAGGGGUUUUAGGGGUAAAGGUGUUAUGUGGUUCAUAAUUUGUUUGAAUAUUGUUAGGAAGGGAUAGUAUCAAUGUAUUGCUAUUCUCACUUGCAAGUGUAUUAUGUGGUGAGCUAGAUGUGUUCUUGUUGCAAUUGAUUUUUUUUUUUUUUUUAAAUGUUGUUCAUUUCGAGUUGUAACACUCCAAUAGUCGUACAUCGAAUGGAAAAAAUAAUUCUGAUUUGAUUAUGAGAGGCAUCGUAACUUAAUAUCCGACGAGCUAUUAUUGUUAGCGGGUCUGAUCGUUAUAAAAUUACGACUAUUGCUUAGCUUAUAAUUUGUGGUUAAAUUUUUUGAGUAUAAAGCUAUCUUUUUUUCUUUCCUUUUUUUGGGUGUGUUUUUCAUGGCUUAGAAUUGUGUAUGCAGAAUUUCGAAAGAGUUGAUAUCUUUUUGUAUUUGGAGAAAGUUUUUGCAAUUUUCGUUUUUAAAAAUUUAGAUAGAGAACUUUAAUUUGCUUCCCAGUGAGAUAUCAUAUUUUCACUUUGUUGCUUCCUCUCUUCUUUUUUUUUCCUUUUUUUUUUUUCCUUUUUUUUACAGCAAGGAGUUGUCAUAAAAACAAUAGAUGAAGGACAUCAGAUUUUUUUUAUUUUUUAUUUUUUUGGUUUCACCCUCUGCUGCUCUUUUUUUUCUUCAAUCCUUUUUUAGCAUUGUCAUGAUGAAACAGUACACAAAAAUUAACAACAAUGGUAUGGUUAUAAUAGGAUUUAAACAUUAAUAAAGUUGUUUGUAAGUAAAAGAAUAUCAAGCAAGAGCUUUUAGUUCUAUGGUACAUUUUUGAUAAACAAAGGUGUUUAAAACCAUAAAAAGUUUAAACCCUUUAGUCAAACCCAAUUAGAAAUGGCUCUAAUCUCCUAUUUUAAUGAAAAAAAUUUAGAAUGCACCGGUUAUAUUGCUGACGUAGCAUUCCCAACCAAUAAAAUUGUAUUUUUGGUUCACCAUCAUGAUUAAUAGAAAAAUAUUUUUAUUGUACUUUUCUCUUAAUAAGAGAGAUGUGAUUGACUCAUUAUUGCUGAUAUAGUAUAAGUGUGAUACAGUAGACUUUCUUAUUUUAAUAGGCCAUGUUAUUUCCCUACACCUCGCAAUCUCAAACGGUAUUUGCGGGUACUCACAAAUUACGUGCUAAUUUGCAUAUAUGAGUACUAGUUUUUUACCUAAAAUUUUAUCAGUAAAAUGAACUGAUACCUAUUAGAUUAUAGAUAUCAGUAAAAUGAACUGAUACCUAAAAUUUUGAAGUUUUCCCAUGAUAAUUUGGAAAAACUUCAAAAAACCCCUCUGUGGUUUCACACUUUCUCACUUUAGUACCCUGUGGUUUAAAACGUAUCAAUUUGCCUCCCCGUGAUUUCGUUUUUCUCUUUUUGUUAUCAAUUUUAUUAUUUUUUUUUCUUAAAUCAGUGACAAAGUUAAAAUUAAAGGAUACUAAAGUGAAUAUUCGAUAAACAUAGAUAGUUAUCUGAAGUUUUUUGUAUAUAAUUUAACGAAAUAUUAAUGAAAAAGCUUCCGAAAAGAUAAAAACGAAACCACAGGAGGGCAAAUUGAUACGUUUUAAACCACAGGGUACCAAAGUGAGAAUGCACGAAACCACGGGGGUUUUUUGAAGUUUUCCCAUGAUAAUUUUGAGCAACCCGCUAGUAUCCACGGAUUUCCACACAUAUAAUUUUUAAAAAAAAUUAGAAAAAUAAAAAGUUGAAUACUCCUGUUGUUUUACAUGGUGAUGUUUUAAACAAAUAAUUAUAUUUUGGUCUUUAGAAAAUAAUGUGUAUGCUAUUUGUACUUAAAAAGUAUGGAGCGGAAAGAGGAAAUAAAAAAGAACAGUAUCUUGUCGGUAAUUCAUAUACCUGUUUGCCCACCUGUGGCGGGUAUGGAUAAGAAUAAUGGCUACUAAAAUAUUUACAGAUAAAUUUUACUCGUAUUAGUAUAACCUUCAGUUGUAAUGAUCUGUCGGCGAGUUACCCAACCCACUCGUUCGCUAGGUUAAUAUGUCCCCAUCAAAUGAUACUAAAGCCUACAGUUUAGCCUGUAAAUUGUAUAUACUAGUGUUGAACCCGCGCUUCGCCGCGGACAAUUUUAAGACCAAUAUUUUGAUGUGAAUUUUAAUAUAUAAUAAUUACGAAAAAUGAGGAAAAUAACGUAAUUAAAUAUCAAUACAUCUAUAUGUAAGAGAAAGUAAAAGAAUAGUGGCCAAGAAUGAAUUGCUAUGCAAAAAUAAGAUGGAAUAAUAACAAAAUAUGUAAUUAUGAACUAUGCAACACGAAUCCAAGUAGCUCUCAAAGAUCCAGCAAAAAAUACAAAAGAAAUAUAAAACUCAGUGUAAAGACAGAUAAAGUUUAGUGCAUGAGAGAGAGAGGAAGAAGAAACAAUUAGGAAAAUUUUUCGAAGUUCGAAUUUGAUGAGUAUACGUUCUCUUAUAUACACACCGGAAUCAAGGUGAGGAUUUUAUCAUUUCCCGAGGUAAGAAAAUAUUUUGAUAGAUUUUGUACCUUCCCGAGAUAGAUUUGGGAAGAUUUGGUACUUUCUCGAGAUGUAAUCAUUAGAUAGAUUUGGUACAUUUUCAAGAUUGAUUUGGAAAGAUUUAUUAUCUUCCCCAAGAUUGAUUUGGGAAGAUUUGUUAUCUUUUCGAGGCAUACCUUCACGAGGCGUAAAGAUUUGGUAUGAAAGGGAGGAGAGAGAAGAGAUAAAAGGAGAAGAGAAGAAAGGAGGAGCGGACACGUGUGCAGGAGGAAGUGUCAAUUAAUGAAUUUGUAUGGAUUUUUGGUAUAUCUUAUUAUUCAACAUUUUGUUUUCUUAACUACACAAUAUUUAUGUUCUGUAAAUUAUAUAUAUUUUUGGUAUAUCUUAUCAACUUUUUUAAGUACUCUAAAUCGUCAUACUUUUAUACUUGCAUGCAUCCAAAAAUGUACCAUACUAAAAUCUAACCAACCCAAAACUUUAGGUUUGAAUUUAUUUGCAUAUAUUAGUAUUUUAUUUUAUUUUUUAGAGUAAACUUCGAAUACUAUUUCUGUGGUUUCAUACUUUCACAUGUUAGUAUUCUGUGGUUUAAAGUGUAUCAAUUUAUUACCCUAUAAUUUUUUUUUUCUUUUCGUCAGCUUCUCCGUUAACUUUUUAUUAAAUCAUAUACAAAUACUUCAGAUACCCCACUUAUAGUUUAUCGAAUAUUCAUUUUAAUACUCUUUAGUUUUAACUCUGUCACUGAUUUAACACAGAGUACGAAAGUGAUACAUUUUAAACCAGAUGGUACUAAAGUGAGAAACUGUGAAACCACAGAGAUGGUAUUUGAAGUUUUUUUUUUAAAUUUAUUAUCCAAGUCAGAAUUAUGCACAUAUAAACUUCUAACAAAAAUUAAUAUUUUUAAAUUUCUUUUUCUGGAAAAAAAAAAUCCUAUUGGCUACAGGAUGGGUUAGUUCAAACAUUCAAUUGGGUCCUCAUUCAAGUUGACAUGUGGAUAUCAUUUAUUAAGAGGGAGUACCAUUUACCAAAGGAGGUGUUACAGCUACAUUCCAUGUACAAGACCCUUGAAUCACUUUAUAAUAAAGGCUAAAAAAAUUACAAAACUUAUCUAGUUAUCUGCCAUUCUAAAUAAGUUAUCUAAUUUUUUUUAAAAAUAAUUAAUUUUACUAUCUAAUUUUUUAAUUUGUUUAAUUUGAGUCAGUCGACAAUUUUUAAAUUUUAAAUAUUAAGUUAAUUGCUUACUGUAAUAAAGUUAAUGUAAUUCGGUUACCAAUUUUUCAAAAUUUUAAAUUUACUAUCCAAUCUUUUAAUUUAUUUCAUUUGAGCCGGUCAACGGCACCUUCACUUCAAAAUUUUAAUGCGUCGUUUGUAUUUGCAAGUUUAGCUAAUAUAAUUCAUAUUAUUCUAUUAAAGUAAGUAAUUAGUUUAAAUUUUAAAGUCAAAGUAUCGUUGACUGACUCGGAUUAAAUAGAUUGAAAGGUUGGAUAGUAAAAUUAAAAUUUUGAAGAUUUAAUAAUUGAUUCAAAAUAAUCCAUAAUU